rnacentral:lncRNA from 1 species
AGCCCCUUCACAAAACCAAAUUUCUUUAAACCCUAGAAGCAACAACUGCUCCCAUCCCCGCCCACACACACCACCGACACACACUCCCCAACAAUCAUGGCGACUAACUCUCCGAAUCUGGAAUGUCGAAUGUAUGAAUCGAAGUACCCAGAAGUAGACCAAGCAGUGAUGAUACAGGUGAAAAGCAUGGCUGAUAGUGGGGCCUACGUUUCCCUUCUGGAGUACAAUAACAUUGAAGGAAUGAUUCUUUUCUCUGAGCUCUCUCGUCGUCGUAUUCGGAGUAUUAGUAGUCUUAUCAAAGUUGGACGCAUCGAACCUGUUAUGGUUCUUAGGGUUGAUAAGGAGAAAGGAUAUAUCGAUCUCAGUAAACGUAGGGUUUCUGAAGAAGAUAUUUCGGCUUGUGAGGAGAGGUAUAAUAAGAGUAAACUUGUUCAUUCUAUCAUGCGUCAUGUUGCUGAAACCAUGGAAAUUGAUCUGGAGGUCAGCUAAUUUCUCAUACCCCAUUUUAUUUUUACUUUGGUCAUGAAGAGAGUUACUUUGAGUUUAACAUGUUAUUUGAAGCUUUUUGUAUAAUUUGUGAUAAAGGAUAGAAAAUAUGAAUGCAAUGUAUGAGAAGUUAUUUCAUCGUUUGUGAAUGGGAAAGGUGUCAUGUGUAUUUUGAAACUAAGGGAGCAAAGGAUUUGAUUGAAUUUGGAAUUUCAGUUGAACAUGAGGUCUACGGAUAUUAGAAAUUAUUGAAGCGCAAAGCAAAUGGGCCGACUUAGUUAUACAACCUUAGGUAACCCCCAAAGCUAGCUAUUGAGGUGGAGACCCAAAGCUACAUAAGGCCCACAUCAGUUCCCCAUUCAACCGAUGUGGGACACAAGUCCCAUUCCUUGCAAUAAUAUCAUAACAAUUAGUAUUAUUGAUUUGGCAUUUUUUGGAACUCCCGUUCCAAAGCCUUGAAUGUUGUACUAUUCUAAAGAUAAAACAAUAAAGUAAGGAAGAGUUUAUGCUAAAUGAUUCUUAAACUUAGGUUUUCUAGGAUAAGGUCAAAUUGCUCUGCUUAUUUUUAAGUUGUAUGAUGAAAUCUCUACUAAGAACUCAGAGAAAGAAAACUGCGGUGUGGAAACUUUUUUAGUAUGAGCUUGGUCCUUUGUGCCAUUUCCUAAAGAUUAAGGGUAGGUGUACAUAAAAGCUAUUGUAAGAUAACAGUUGUAUAUUACAAAAAAAAAUGAGUUUAAGUUUAUGUUUACCAUUGUGAGUUUUGUUUUUGGAUAACAUAAUUGAUUUCUCUUCUUAAGAACUUCUGUUUGAUAAGAGGUGUAGAAUACAUGAUUCCAACAGGAACUAGUUUUCCUGUUGGAUUUAGUUCUUUGGGUAAUGCCGCGCUUUAAGGACAAGCAAGAACUGGAAGUGAAUCUAUGCUUUUUAGGGAGUUCAUAGGUUCUGAAAACAGCUGAUGUUACUGCAAUUGGAUAUUGUCCACGGUGAAUGUAGGGUUUCAAUAUAUUAUUUGUGAAUUGCAUUGAAGUGGAAAGAGGCAUAUUCUGCUUGUGUAAUGGUCUGGGUCUGCUGGUUGUGUGGUAGUACAGAUUGUUGACGAAAUUCUAGUAAGAGUUUUAUGAAAUUUAUCUGUUUUAGUCCAAGUGUGAAUAUAGAUUUGAUUCCACUUUCUUAAUUUUUUUGUACACGGGUAUUUUACCAAUUACUUUUCCGUGCCUUACUGCUUUGUAACUGGGAGUGCGUAAAUAUGCUGCUCCUAUAAUCUACGUAAUGCCUUUGCAUGAAGGAGUUUGUUACUGUCACUUUCCCUUGUUAUAUGUUGACUUAAGCACGAUUAUUCUGUUCUGGCAUCUCUGUUGAUUUCUGACUUGUUAUGUGACUGCUUAAAAUAUCACUAAACGGGUGUAACUGUCUUUUUCCUAUGUGUCCUUGGCCAUGCAAGCAUAUUUUUUGCACGUUCAUUAGAAUUUCUGCUGCUUUUAAGUGAAUGUACAUUUGUCCCCCCUCCUCUUUUCUUUUCUUUCUGCGGGAUGAGUUGCAAGGAACUACUUUCCUAAAUUUGGUCAUGUACUGUGGAAAUGCAUUUACUUGCUGUUUGAGAAAUAAGAGAAUAUUUGUCAUUGUUUCAUCAAUAACAUACCUAGUGUGGUCCCACAAGUGGGUUCUGGGAGGGUGAGGCGUAUGCAAACCUUACCCCUACCUUAGUGGGGUAGAGAGGAAUAUUCUUCAUUGUUUAUUUGAGAAAAAUGUGUAUCCAUGUAACCCUACUUAGCUUUUCCUUUUCUAGAAUCCCUGUUGUAUAGAACUUUGAAUUCUACUCUUCAAUUUCUCUUAAUCACUUGGCAUGUUUAUUGCAGGACUUGUACAUUCAUGUAGGUUGGCCUUUAUACAGAAAAUAUGGUCAUGCUUUUGAGGUGAAAUUUUGUAUCGAUUUCCAAAUGUUCCUUUUCCCUCUUCUGAUUGGCGAGAUUCACUUGGGAUUUCUUGGUUUUGAUUUCCAGGCAUUCAAAUUGGUUGUCAGUGAUCCAGAUUCAAUUCUUAAUUCCCUCACCCGUGAAGUUAAAGAAAUUGGCCCUGAUGGGAAGGAGGUAGGUCUUUUGUCAUAUCAUUUUCUAGGUUUAUUUCGUCCAAUGAUGUCAAAUAAUAUUUAAUAUCUUAUCCUUUCUAGGUAACUAAGGUUGCUCCUGCUUUAUCUGAGGAAGUUAAAGAUGCAUUAGUCAAGAAUAUUAGGAGAAGAAUGACUCCACAACCAUUGAAGAUUCGAGCAGAUAUUGAGAUGAAAUGUUUUCAGUUUGAUGGUGUUCUUCACAUUAAGGUUUCUACAUUUGGCAUAAUCAUUUUCAUGUUAUUAUCUAUUUCUUGAACCAGGAAUGUAGCACUUGUGGAGUUUGCAUUUUCUUAAUGCUGGUAUUCAAUAAAAUGAAACCAUUACCUAUCAAAAAAGGGAAUUUUUUUCUAGUGAUUACGUAUUGUUUGUAAUUUUAGCCUUUUUUUGAUUUUUGAUGAUUUUCCCCCGUCUGGUGCAGGAAGCUAUGCGUAAGGCUGAAGCUGCUGGUAAUGAUGACUGCCCUGUUAAAAUUAAACUUGUUGCUCCUCCAGCAUAUGUGCUCAAUACUCAGACUCUUGACAAGGUAAACUAGCUUUUUAUUGCAGAUAAUUAUGGUAGCCUAUUUUACUUGAGUAAAAUGUUUUUCGUCUUCACCUUGUAAAAAUGUCAGUUUUAUUUGCGCUUGAGCUUUUCAUUGUUCUGAGAACAUUUUGGUCAAGAACAUGCAACAUAUGUUAGUUCCGGCUUAAAAACUACAUUUUUUAUUCAUAUAGACUGCAUGUUAUGUGCUAUUAUCUCCUUCACCUUGAUUUUGCUUAGGGUACUCUUUUACUUUUGGCUCUGUUCUUCCAUCUCAGCUGUUGCAUAUAAGAUUCUUAUAUUAUGAGUAUGCUUCCACUUACCUAUUACAGUUUUAUGGUCAAACAAGAAAGAUUUCUGUUUGGAUGAUACUCAUUACUUUUGUUUUCUAGGACGCUCUAGCUGGAUCCUUUUUGUUAGCUGUGAUCCUUCAAAGAUCACCUCUUCUAGGUCUAUCAGAAACAGCCUCUCUACUUCAUCUGAGGUAGUGGUAUGGUCUGCGUACACUUUACCCUCCCCCACUUUGUGGGAAUAAACUGGGUAUGUUGUCUGGAUGCUUCCCAAAAUCUUUUGACUCUCUCUUUGGUUUUCCUGUGCUUAUUUUCAAGUAAGGUGGUGAAUGAAUAUCUACUUGAUAGGAUCAUUUUUUUUUACUGCAAUUGUCAUUUCUCUCUCAAGUGUGUUGUUGCCUUUUCAAUGUGUUCUCUCAUGCAUCAACUUUAGUCAACGUUAAAGCUACUUCUAGGAUUAAUCUUACGUUGCUUCGUUGCUGGAAAGUGAAAAAAGAAUGGAAAAAUACUUUAGUGGGCGGUCGUUGAGCAUAGUUCCCUCAAAAAAUUCCAAUUUGAGGAGAAUGAACUGUCCUUCUCAACUUCCACUAGUUUCUUAACUGGUCACAAGUAUUAACAAUAGCAGCUUAAUUUUAUGUGCAGCUAGAGCGCUUCCAGCUGUUAUCACCCUAUCACAUUACGGCAUUCUAUUAUUUCUAGUAUCUGUAUUUUAUAAUUUCAGAGGGAAUUCAGCAUGUUAGAUUACAGAUUCUAUUUAUUUCAUUUGGCAGGAGCAAGGCAUAGCGAUCCUUACUAAAGCAAUUGCAGCUUGCACCGAGGAAAUAGAGCGUCACAAAGGAAAACUUGCUGUCAAGGAGGCUCCAAGAGCGGUGAGCUGACUUUUUUUAAAAAAAAAUUAUGCGUGAUUUUUUAUCUCAUCAUAAUUGUGGAAUGUUCUGCGUACACUCUACCCUUAGGUAGUGUUCUAAGCUGGGGGUCUAUCGUAAACAACCUCUCUACUUCACUUGAGAUAGUGGUAUGGUCUGCGUACACACUACCCUGCGUACACUCUACCCUCCCCAGACCCCACUAUGUGGGUAUACACUGGGUAUGUUGUUGUUGUGCAUAAUUGUGGAAUGUGCUUCUUCGUACCUUUGAAGAGGCCUUAAUUUGAUAUAUGCCACAGUUCAAUAAGGAUAUGAGAUUGAGAAUUGUGAAAUUUGAGACCAGAUUUACCAUAACACAUUGUUGGUAAAUCUUAAUAAUCAUGUGAUGGUUGGGCAAGAGUCAGGGGUUUCUAUAUCACUGAUUCCAUGCUUAAUUAGUAUUUUUACUUUGAAAUUAUUUCCAAACUAGUAUAGCAUGGUCCUUGAUACAUAUAUAUGUAUGUUCAAUUGAAUAAAGCGCUUCUUCGAUUUGUCUCUCUUGGCAAGGCACUGCUACUAGCACUCUGGAUGCUUACAAAUUGAGACCGUUGUCGUAUUAGUUGGUCCUAAAAUCUCAUUUGGGUUUGACUGCUCUAGUAUGGAUGUACGCGGGCAAAUGUUUCAGUUAAUAAAAUGGUGAUAUAUUUAAAUUUCAAUGGACUUGUUUUAGGUUUUCGAAUAAAACACUAUUUACAUAGUUGGCGAGAACUACGUUAUUCAGCUUAUCACUUAGAACUGAAACUAGCAUGAGUUAGACUCUGUACAUGUUCCUGGGAGAGUUUUGGAUAUUGUAUUGACUGGAAUUGAACACUUCAAUAAGGAACAAGACCAAAAGAAAUGAAUGCGUCUCUGGCUAUUUUUUUUUCUUCUUUUCUUUUCUUGCUUUCCGUUUGGGGUUGUUAUUCUUGUUUCUUCUGUGGUGAUUCUGAUGUGAGUUAUCUAUUCAGGUGAGUGAACGGGAAGACAAAUUGCUUGCUGAACAGAUGGCUAAGCUCGGUCGCGAAAAUGAGGAGAUCAGUGGUGAUGAAGAUAGUGAAGAGGAGGAAGAUACCGGGAUGGGAGAAAUUGAUGUGGAGAACUCAGGAACUGGAAUUAGAGAGUAAAAAGUGUGGCUUGUAUGAACUUGGAUAACACAUUCUUCACAGAUGCAGAUGCAGAUGCAGAUCCUACAGAAGCUACCUCACCUUUUGUUCUUGUCUUUUUGUAGCCAUAUGCUUACUUACUCUGGCAAUUUCUCUUGACGAGCAUUUUAGUUUUUACAUGAAAUCACUCUUGAUAGUUAUGUUGGUGCGGAUAUUUGAUAAUUCCAAUCGCAUUAGUACAUUUUGCAAUGAGAAUGAACAACUGUACAUCUUGUUCUUUCAAUUCUCCCUCAUAAAUGUAUAUUUGGACUAGUCAGUUUUUGGCAUCCCUUCUCUUCCAUAUAGGCGGGACUAGUGUUGAGCAAUGGUUAUGACAGAGCUGGUGAAUGUGUCUGUUGCGUUUUUGAGAAGCUUAGAAAGUCUUCCAAUGCGUUAUAAUCUAUCCGAUGAACACGGUGCUUCGGUCUUACUGUCUCAUCUUGAGACAUUUGUCGAAGGUUCUGCCUCUGAUGCUUUAACUUGCGUAUGUUCAGCUAUUAGUGUAAGAAAUUAUACUCAAGUAGGUGCACAUUGGUACGGUAUGCUGACAUGUUGACUUGGGCACCAAGCUAGGUUGGCUAUAGAAGAUUGUUUGUAUUUAAGUUCAGUUUAGCUUGGCUCAGAUUGGUUUUGGUCGAAGCUUGAUUUGGCAAGGUUUUGAUCCCAGUUCGCUUAGGCCCAAUUUGGCUUGAAUAAAAUUAGGUUAAAGAUCGAUUGAACCUGAUUUAAGUGGAGGUUAUAUGGAAUGACAUGAUUAGUGAGGUUUCAUACCACUAGCCUUUUGUUGUGUGACUGUGAGAGUUAAAUUUAAUGUUACAUAUUGCUAAACUCUAUUUGCAUUUGACUAGAGUUACAAUCUAAACUAGCAAAACUCUUUUUUUUUUUAACAUCAAUCACAUUUGAAUCGAAACUGUUAAGUAAUUUUUAUAGUUUUCCUAUUCAAUUGGUUGUUUAUUUGCAUCAAAUUUCUAAAGGCCUAUGGCAACGCAUGGUAGCAAAAGUUAAGAGAUUCUAUUCACGCUUUGCUUCAGAUGUGUUUUACCAUAAGAAAGCUGGUCUCUAGCUCGACCCAAUUUGGUAUUGCAGCAGGCGUAUUGAGUUUUGUUUAACUCGGGCUCUCACUCAGCUUGAUAUUGUAGUAAGUUCGGUUGCUCGAAGCAUUUUUUAUACACUAUCAUCUGGAAUUGUUUGCGAUUUGGUUACUGUAUAUCAACCUUCUACAGGCUCAUUUUGCUUUCCUCCAGCGACAUAGUUUCGUUUUAUUGUUUGAAUCCUCGUGGCGAUGUUUUUGGCCAGUAUCUAGUAUAGUUAGCAGUGUGUUUUAUUUUUGUUCUAGUUUUCCUAUUUGUUAUCAUCCUUCUCCUUUCCCUUUGUGCUUCUUUGUUGGUUGAACAGUUCAUUCUGCUGCAAAUGAUGUUGAUGCCUACAGAACAGCUGUUCACAUGAUCUGUAUAAGUGUAGGUACUUCUUGCUUCUCAUCAACAAUGCAACGGUGAAGCAUAAAAGGUAGUAUAGACAAUGGUUGUGAUAUUGCCUGCUUCAGGGGUUAGUUGAUAGCUAAACUAUCACCGCUAUAGUAUGGGUUAGCUCACCAUAUGAUAGAAAUGCUGCUUCAGAAGCAGAAAAAAGCAGCAACAUUCUAGAGAAAAGCAAUAAGCAGAAUUUACUGCACCCUUUUUGAGAAGAGAAUUUACUAUACUGCGCUUAUGACAAAAGUGAAGACACUAGCCUUGAUUAAUUAAAACCAUAUUUUUGACAACCUUAGUGACUACUUUUGGCAAGAGUUAUUUUGAAAUUUAUGUCUAAAGUAGUAAAUAUGAAAUUUAUUCAUGCAAUAGUAAAUCUAAAAUUUAUUAAAGAAACAAGUGCAUGUCAUGGUAAACUUGGAGUUUACUAGUAUAAAAGUUCAUAAAUUGGCAUAAACGAUUGUGACAUCCGAAGAUGUGCAUAUUGAGUAUUGGACAUAUAAUGAAGAAUUAGAAGAUUUUUCAAGAAUUAUUCAUGUUAUUUGUUCUCAUGAUAAGUUGGUUGGACCAAUUAAUAUUGGGAUUGAACCCCUUAAAUCUGAAAAGUAUAAAGGUGAAUAUGAGUCCGUUCACCUGUCAUGUGAUCUAUUAACAACAACAACAACAAACCCAGUGUAUUCCCACUUAGUGGGGUCUGGGGGGGUAAGAUGUACGCAGUCCAUACCUCUACCUCUGAUGAAGUAGAAAGGCUGUUUCCGAAAGACCCCCGGCUCAAGUCACGAGAUAUCACACAAACACAUAGGACAGCACAGCAGCAGAUGACAUAACAUAGAUACGGCACCCAUAAGGAAUAUAAAACAAACAGGAAUCCCCCCCCACCACUUAAUUCCCUACACUAGCGACCCGAACUGGCCCUAAUCCUCUGCCGUAAUUCGCAUCUUCCAGCCCUUCCUAUCUAGGGUCAUGUCCUCGGUGAGCUGUAACUGUUCCAUGUCCCGCCUAGUCUUAAGAUGCAUCAAUAUAAGAUAAUCACAUGUAUAUUGUCAACCGGCUGUUGACAUUCAUAGAUUUUCUUGUUUAAUAUAAAUUGAGUUAAGAGCAUAAUUUUCAGAUUGUGUAAUCAAAGCAAUUCAUCUUGAUACUGUUGAUUAGAGAUAAAAUGACUAUGAUAAAUAGAUAAACCAUUGCUAAUGAGAACAAAAACUUCAUGUGUUGAUUUGAAAUAUUAUAUAAAUAAGUACUUGUAUGCAUCAAAUUAAUAAAUUAUGAUUAAUUCCCCUUCAAAGUUGGUUCUGAGUCAGGAAUCACACAUUAUCUAUCUAAUAAUUUUAUGUGCGGUAUUCGAUUAAUGAAUAUAUCAUGAUGCAUAAAGAUGGAUCCUCAAAGAAUAUGUAGGAUGCAUGUUAGUUUUCCUGACAUAAGGAGGAGAUUAUAAACAGCUAUGGAGUAUGUUAGGAAUUAUUAUUAGAUCCCCAUUCAAAAGAUAAUUCAAUUCAAAUACCGAAAGUAUCUCAUAUUAAACUGAAAGUGCUCCUAUUUUGUGUCCCUAAAGGACAAAGUAUGCAUGCGUGAAGCGUGGUAGAUCAAUCGAUUCUAAAUGCAAUAAUCCUUGAAAAGGAUAAGGAGCAAAUGAUCAUAAUAAGAAGGCAAUGUGCUCUUGAAGAACCUACGACAUAACACUUCAUGAAACCUUAUAGGAGGUUCAGGUACCUGAAAAUAAUGAAGUGAUGAAAUCUCAAAAUGUUAUGUCAUACUGUGAACUGAUAUGAAAUGAAAUAUCAUUAAUAUCUUUGAUACAAUAUUGGCGCAAUAUUGUAAAAGAUUAUGAGGACCUGAAUUCUAUGUUUAUUUAAGUAUGUUGACGUAAAGAUAUUUAUCAAGUGACAUGAAAGGAUGCAUCUUGAUAAGCAUAACACUUAUUUGAUUUGUAGCCCAGACACUUGAAGAUGUCACACAUGAAAUAUUGAAUAUUGUCACUUGACAAAAUUUAUAUGAAAACUUUUUUAAGGAUUCAAAAUGUUUGAAGCAUAUAAAAGUUUCUGGAAAACUUAUUUAUAAUCGUUAUAUUGUAUAAGCUUAUAACUUGUAAAUUAUUGGAACUCUUGGAGAAUUUUCAAAAGCAAUAGAUUAUUUGUUGGAAUGAGAAAUAUAUCGAAUUGGAUUGGUAAUAUAUCUUAGUGCAAUUGGUGUGCUAAUAUAUCUUGUAACUACUACAAGGUUCGAUAUAACCUUUCGAUCAAUUUGUUAGUAAGGUAUAGUUCUGCUCCUACUAUGAGACAUUAGAAUAAGAUUAAACAUAUGAGUUUAUUUAAUUUUAAAGACUGUAGUCCCGAUCAUGUUGGUUAUGUUGAUGCUGGGUACUCAUCCGAUCCAUAGGUACCCAUACAAUAAAUCUGAUCUAACCACCACUCUUUAGAACUUAUAGGAGGUACUUUUUUAUCACACAAGAUUUCGAAAAUGAGCUUUCAUUUCAUCCACCCUACCCGAAUCCAAGAGUGACAUCCUCAUUAAACUCACUAUUCUCCUGAAUCAUAGGUCCUAAAUACUUGAAAUUGUUUCUCUUAUUGAUAAAAUGAGUAUCAAGUUUAACAAUCACAUCGGACUCAUGAGAUACCUCACUGAACUUACGCUCCAAAUAUUCCGUCUUGGACCUACUCAACCUAAACCCUUUAGACUCAAGGGUCUGCCUCCAAACCUCCAAUUUAGCAUUAACUCCACUACGUGUCUCAUCAAUUAAUACCACAUCAUACGCAAAAAUCAAAUAGUAAUGCACCUCACUUUAAAUUUGUCGCAUCAAAACAUACAUCACUAAGGCAAAAAGAAACAGACUAAGCGUCGAUCCUUAGUGUAACCCUAUCAAGACGGAAAAGUGCUUAGUCCCCUCCUCCAAUCCUAACUCAAAUCUUGGCGCCGUCGUACAUAUCCUUAAUUGCCUUAAUAUACACCGUACACUUCUCUCCUCCAAACACUUCCAAAGAACCUCUCUCUGGGAACUCUAUCAUAGGUCUUCUCUAAGUCGAUAAACACCAUAUGCAAAUCCUUCUUCCUAACCCUAUACUGCUCUAUCAGUCUCCUAACGAGAUGAAUGGCUUCAGUAGUCGAGCACCCUAGCGUAAAUACAAACUAAUUUUCAGAAAUAGUAACAAUCCUUUGCAACCUCAACUCUACCACCCUCUCCCAACCCUUCAUAGUGUGGCUCAACAACUUUAUACCACUAUAAUUGUUGAAUAUCACCCUUAUUCUUAUACAAUAGAAUCAUCAUAAUUAAACCUUUUAAAUGGACCGGGUUAGCCCGUUCCAGCCAAUUUAGCUCGGCCUAACCGAUGGGCCUGCCCAAUCAGCCCACAGGCUGUAGGGCCGCCAGUCCUAGGCCUGGGCCUGGGCCGGCCAAGUGGAUAAAGACAAAUUGCUACGCUUAUUUUUAAGUUGUAUGAUGAAACAUAUUUCUCUAAUAAGAACUCAGAGACAGAAAACUGUAUUGUGGAAAUUUUUUUAGUAUGAGCUUGAUCAUUUGUCCCAUUUCUAAAGAUUACGGGUGGGUGUGCUCUAAUUUCAAAAAUUUUAGUUUUUAUGGUUAAACGCCCAUUAAUACUUAUAGCAUAAAAUAUUAUUGAUAUUCUUUUGAUUAUUGAAUAACUUUUUGGAAUUUGAUUGCUACCAUUAAUUUAUUAGAGAAAAAAUGGGUAAUAAUUCAUACAUACAUAUAACAUAAUAUAAAGCUCAAUUUAAUUUUUGAGACUUCAUACUUGUGUUUCUUUGACUCUCAAAUACUUUUAUAUGAUUUAGUAGGCAUUUGACUAAGAACUUUUUUUUAACAUUUUUUUCGAAAAUCAUUUCUUUUUGGUGAAAAUAGUAGUUUUUUAUCAUAAAAAUUAUUUUAAUUUACUGAAAAUUAUUUUUGAAAACUUUUUUCAUUCUUAUUUCUCGAGCAAAAUUUUAAAAACAACUCUAAUUUAUGUUUGUGACCAAACACAACAUCAAUUCUAACUUUAAUUCCAACUCCAACUUCAACUCUAAAAAUGAUUAUUUUCAUGGUCAAACGGGCAUUAAUCUUUUAAAAGUCUUCACAAAUAUAACAAGUUACUUUUUUAAUAAAAAUGACGCAACAAAAAUAAAUAACACAAAUGUUGAAUAAAAGUUUUAAAAUAAAGAACAAAUUAAAUUUUAAACGUAGAUUUGGGCCCGGGGUAAAUAGCACCCAUAGAUAGGUAAUAAAAGGAAGGGAUAUAUACCAAAACAGCUAACUUUAGACGCCAAAAAACAAAUUCUUCGUGGAAUCUCUUGUUUCAGCCCCUCCACAGUAAAAAAAACCUUUCUCCAGAAACCCAAAUUUCUUUGAAACCCUAGAAGCAACAGCUACUGGGGCCUACAUUUCCCUUCUGGAGUACAAUAACAUUGAAGGAAUGAUUCUUUUCUCUGAGCUCUCUCGUCGUCGUAUUCGGAGUAUUAGUAGUCUUAUCAAAGUUGGACGCGUCGAACCUGUUAUGGUUCUUAGGGUUUACAAGGAGAAAGGAUAUAUCGAUCUCAGUAAACGUAGGGCUUCUGAAGAAGAUAUUUCGGCUUGUGAGGAGAGGUAUAAUAAGAGUAUGCUUGUUCAUUCUAUCAUGCGUCGUGUUGCUGAAACCAUGGGAAUUGAUCUGGAGGUCAGCUAAUUUCUCAUACCCCAUUUUAUUUUUACUUUGGUGAUAAAGAGAGUUACUUUGAGUUUAACAUAUUAUUUGAAGCUUUUUGUAUAAUUUGUGAUAAAGGAUAGAAAAUGAAUGCAAUGUAUGAGAAGUUAUUGCAAUGUUUGUGAAUGGGAAAGGUGUCAUGUGUAUUUUGAAACUAAGGGAGCAAAGGAUUUGAUUGAAUUUGGAAUUUCAAUUGAACAUGAGGUCUACGGAUAGUAGAAAUUAUUGAAGUGCAAAGCAAAUGGGCUGACUUAGUUAUACAAAAGCAAAUGGGCUGACUUAGUUACUAUGAAAAUAUUGUGACGCAACCUACUGUUAUUCAAAUUCACGACUUGUUCAUAUCAGUUUUAAAGAGUUGAAUCACCGAUGAUCGUAACAAUCUUUUAAGGAAUCAACUAACCUCGAAACAAGUAGAGUAACUUUCAACUAACCAUGAAACAAAAUUAGUCAUAAGAAAUCUAACGCAUAACCACCUACUCAUCAAAAUAGUCUUAAAAAAUCCUAAGUUUCUACAAUACACAAUCCUACCAUUACGCUACUUGCACGAAGAAGAAGAAAUAAUGAGAAAAUUUAAAAGAGAAUGAUGUGUUUACCUUUUUUUGAGCAACGAAUAGGGAUUACGAGCCUGUCACGAUGGAUUUUCACCACCAAAAACUCGACUUGGACUUACCGGCAUUGAAUCGUUCUUGCAGAAACUUAGACGAUUUCAACGAAUUUAGGCGAAUUUCACCAUGAACCUCUUGGUUACGUGAGAUUAGAGGAGCGAUCCUCCAAAAUCCCCAUUUUAUCCCCAAAAAGCCCUCUUCACCUUUAUCCCCCAACCUCUAUUUAUAGGGAAAAGAGAGGGGAGAAUUUUAGGGUUUCAGAUUUAAAAAUGAAAUUUUGAAUUGAUUUUCUUGCAGAAUUUGAGGUCCACAGGCAGAGAGGCACGUACCCGUUGGCUUCUAUUGCCAAAAACGAGUGGACAUGGUCUAAGCAAGGGGAAGUAGACGAAACUCUAGCCAUUCUUGGCUGAAUGUUAAGAAGGUAAAAUGGUAAAAUUGAGGGUGGGGUGGCCAGGUUCUUUGGCGUUGAUAUUGUACUGGUCUGUUGAAAUGGUUUUGCGCAUUUGUUGUUGUACAUCGUUGUUGUCGAAUGCUAUUAUCGUUGAUAUUGCUUGGAAAUUGCGAGUUUGGUACUGAUGGUGUUGUAUACGAGUUUUGCCGUUGUAUUUUCUAUUGGUUUGUUGAGUGCCGUUGUUGAAUGUUGUUGUUACGGUUGUUGAGGCGGUUUUUGGUUGUUGUAUUGUUCUUGAUUGACGUUAAAACGGGUUGAGGGAAAAGGGAAUGAGAAUGGGCCGAGUCGGUGUAAUUGGGCCUGGUGGAACAGGUUGGGGUGACUGGGCAGGCUGGUAAGGGUUUGGUUGAAUUUUGUUAGGUAGAUUAAGAAUUGGGGAUUUAGACCAUUUAUUAAAUAGCCAAAAAUGAGAAUUUAGACAAUUAUACUUAAAUUUUAGCAUAAUUAAAAUUCAAUUGACCCAUUGCAUUGUAAUUAUGGUCAAUUUAGUUUCAAUUAAGUUCUAAUUUAAUAAAUUUACUAAAUUGAAACAAUAUUUGAAACAAAUUAACAACCAAUUCAAUCCCGAACUUCUUGGUUCAAUAAAAUCAAACAAAUAUUUUCAAAUAAAUUAUUUUUAAAUCAAUAUUUUAUCCAUUUGAAUCCAUAUUCCAAAUAACCCUUGAUUAAAAUUUAAUGUUUUCGUAAAAUUAUAUGAUUUCGCAUAUGCAAAUACUAAAUAUACAAUCGCUACUUAAAACGACUAAAACUACCUAGAGAAAUGCUUUGGAAAGCUUUUAUUUGGAUAAUAUAAAUGUUGCAAUCUUAUUUAAAAUUGAAGAAACUCGAAAUUAGACUCAGUCACGGAGGGUAAAAAUUAGGUGUCUACAUACAUGACUUUUUUAGUGUAUGCAAUGGAUAUUUAGUGAAAAAAUAUCACCAUAUCUAUUGAAAAUAAUCUAUUGUUUGAUAUCAAAUAAUUUUUUGUUGCAAUAAAAAAGGUAAUCAGUAUUAGUCAUGGUUAAUAUUGGUAUUGAUUCACUAUAUUAAUUUUGCUUUCUGAUAAUCAGUACAGUCAGGUGCAGGACUUACCAGAAGGGAUAGAGUCAGGAAUGAGACCGUCCGGGAGAAGGUGGGAGUGGCUUCGUUGGAGGAUAAGAUGCGCGAAGAAAGGUUGAGAUAGUUUGGGCAUGUGAUGAGGAGGGGCACAGAUGCCCCAGUUCGGAGGUGCGAGAGAUUAGCGUUAGAUAGCUUUAAGAGAAGGAGAGGUAGGCCGAAGAAGUACUGAAGGGAAGUGAUCAGACAUGAUAUGGAGCAGCUUCUGCUUACUGAGGACAUGACCCUAGAUAGGAAGGUGUGGAGAUCGCGGAUAAAGGUAGAAGGCUAGGUUGUGUGCGUGGAUUUAGUAAGUAGUUAGAAGAGCUCAAGUUGAGUCGGGCUGGUAACCCUAGGAUUAGGUCCAGAGAUAGGAGCCCGAUCAGGCGGGCUUGGGUUUCUUUUUCCUGUUGCACUUAUUUAUUUUAUUGUUUAUUGCUUUGAGUAAUAUUUUUAUUGUGUCUUAUUCCUUUUCUUGUUAUGCCAUCCAUCUUGCUUCUUAUUUAAUUACGCUUUGGUCUACUUUUCUCUAUUUUGAGCUGAGAGUCUAUCGAAAACAACCUCUCUACUUCUCUGGAGGUAGCGGUAUGGAUUGCGUACAUUCUACCCUCCUCAGACCCCACUUGGUAGGAAUACACUGGGUUUGUUGUUGACAAUCUGUAUAGUUCAAUAAUUAUACAAAAAUAUAGUUACAACUUGUAAUAAUCAGUCUAAAAAGUACAUAUAAAAUAUUUUUCACAUGAUAAAACUCAAUCCAUUAACUGGGUAAGGGUAUUAAUUUUAAAGGAUUUUGGGUUGCUGGGAAUUCAUGAUUUCCGUUAAUAAAACUCAUUGAAAGGAUUGUGCAAAAUCGAAUCACUUUGAAGUAGCUUCGUCUUGUUCUUCGAUAAGGAAGAUGGGGUAAAACAUCCCAAAUCAAAGGACGGUCUAGAAAGUAUGAUCGGGUUAUUUUCUUCUAACAAUCUAGAGUUCUUCCUAUUUGGAGUAGAGUCAAAUUUGCACUUUGCAACAUGAUUCAACAAAAAAAAUAAGAAAACAACACUAAGUUGAGUCAAUUUUAUAUCCCAUAUCAUCAAUAUAUGAAGAGAAACCCAAGUUCAUAUGCAAAAGCUAUAAGGUUCAAUAAAAAGGAAGAGAAAAAAAAAAUAAGUUAUGAAAAAGAGAGCUAUUAAUGGUGGAGAAAAUAUUUUGUCAAUAAAGUAACUAUGGAGAAUAGUGUAAACAUUGAAAAAGUAAAAAAUAAAAAUUACUAGAAAGUCAAAAAGUGUACCAAUGUGAAAAAAAAUCUUUACCAAAUUUUACUCUUUAAUUUAAGAACAUAUUUUGCAACUUAAUUGAUAAAGUUAAAAAAAAUAAAAAUAAAGAUAAUUAUUGAAACCAACAAUAAUUUCUACCAUAAUCAUCAAAAUAUUUAAUGAGGAGAGAUAGAUUGUAAAGACUGAAAAUAAGGAGAUAAUAUGACUACUAAUUAUGAAUAAAUAUUUUUUUAUUAAUUAAAAAAUAAUAAUUUUUGAAAAAUUGCUAUAACUUGCAAUUAUUUCUUUAACCCAAUAAUUAUGAAAAAGUGUUGCUUUAAUUUGCAUAAACAAUCUAAUAAAUAUAUACAACAUAGUUUUCACAUAAAAUCAAAAUCAAUAAGUAGUCCAACAACAGGUAUGAACCGACGCAGGCCCAAUUAAACAAACAAAACAAAUCAAAUCUAACUAUAUACAUAUGUACGAUAUCACAACGAAGGGGCUGUUUUUACCAAAAAAAAAAAAAUACGAAGGAGCCGUUUGGUACAAUGUACUAAGAAAAAUAGUCUAUGUAUUAUGUAUGGUAUUAUUUAGUACUAUAUUGGUAGGAUUUUUGGCCUAUGUAUAACUAAUGCAUGUAUUAAUUAUAUAGCCCUAAUUGGUAUUACGAGGAGCAUAACUAAUACAUUCCAUUUGGUGAUAUUAGUAAAACCCUAUUUGGUAUCAUGAGAUGUAUAACUAGUACCUUACAUUUGGUGGUACUGGUUUAGUUUACGUGCUUUGCACGUGUGUCUCGCGUCAAGCAAUAAAAUUAUAUAUAUAAACAAAUCAUUAAAAAAAUACAAAUAGAUGUUAACACGUCAAUCAAUAAAAUUAUAUACAAAAAAAAAAUUAUUAAAAAAAUACAAAUAGAUGUUAACGCGUCAAUCAAUAAAGCUAUAUGUAUAUAAACUUAUUAAAAAAGUGCAUAUAGAUGUUAACAUAAAUUUAUAUCUAUUUAAAUGACAUGAAUAAAUAUUGUACAAAAAUAACAAAUUGUAUGAACUUAUAUAGCAAGGAUUCAUUUAAGUGAUAAAAAUAAACGUGAUAAAUGUUAUAACAAGUCUCUUCAUAAAUAAAAUUAUUGAUGCAUGUAUACCUUAGAACUAUCUUUGUCAGAUAGAGAGUCUGUUUUCGAUAGAUCCUUGACUAACUUACAAAAUUAGGAUUCAAUAGUUAUGUCUUCAAUCUAAAAAUAAUUUUCAAUAUAAUCUCAUAUAUGAAGUCUUUGGAGGAUUAAAUACAUAUUUUAUCAUUAUCUCUGCAGGGUAGAUAGACUGUUCUCAAUUGAUAUUCCUAAUCUAAACCGGGAUAGCAUUAUUAGAUAUGGAUUAGAAGUAAAAAGAUACUUACAUAUAUUUUAAGUUGGUGAAUGAAACUGAAGAAACUACUGUGCUUGAAAAAUCUAGGCAGCAAUGUGGUGGAGGAUUUAUGAGAAUUCCUAACAAUAAAACAAUUCUUUGCUCUGCUUCAGGAAAUCAUUGCAAUGAAGAUAUCAAUGUUAAUUCCCCAGAUAUGCAACAGAGAUUAAAAUAUCAAAACAUACUACUCCAGUAAAGGAGACAAAAAUAAGACAUGAAAGACAAUAUUAUGAGCUUGAGCAUAUAGAUAUUAUAUAUAAUAUUUGACAUCAUAAACGUCAUGUAAUUAGAAUUUGAUUGCUGUUGAAAAAGAGAAUUUGUUUUAUAGUUAAAAAAGUAAAAUUCUAUAUAAGGUAAAGUAAUAAGUCAAUAUAAAUUUAAUAUUUAAAAAGAUUCUGCACUAACAAAAAAAUUAAUUAUUUUCCUAAUAUGAAAAAUAAAUAUUUAAUUUUCUCCUAUAAAUUAGACUUUUUGCCUUAAGUUUUUUUCACCGUUGUUUAGUGAUUCUUUUUUUUUUUUUGAUCCACUUUCAAGUUUUUCAUUAGGAUUUUGGACUUUCUUUCCUUUUCUAGAUGUUUUUGUUUUUGUUUUUUUUUUUCUCCACACGUUUUUAUGCUUUUCUUUUUCUAAUUAACCUUUUCUAAUUCUUUUUCUAAUUAACCUUUCACGUUUUAUGCUUUUCUUUUAUAAUUAACCUUUACUUCCCUCUAUUUAAUAAGAAUAAGAAAUUGUCCUUAAAUAAAACAUAAGUGAAAUAAUGAUUUUAUUUACUGUGAAAACUUUUAAUGAAGGAUAAAAAGUUCAAAUCACUUUUCUAAGGGGCUUCACACUUUUAAUAUAUUAUAGAUAUAGAUUAUAGAUAUAGAUAUAGAUAUAGAUAUAGACAUAGAUAUAGAUAUAGAUUAUAGAUUAGUAAUACACUAGUGUACAUACCCGCGCGAUGCGCAGAUAACACUAAAAUAAUAUUUCUAAUAUUUCAUGUUGGGAUGUCUUGUUCGAGCAUGUUAAAUUCUAUUAUCUUAAAAAUGUUUCAACUAUGAUAUUGUUUCUCAAUGAAAUGUAAGAAUAAAUAUUUUUUUCUCUACCCUCAUCCACAACGGCGGAUCUACGUAGAGCUUGAGGGAUUCACUCGAACCCUCUCAUCGAAAAAUUACACUGCAUAUAUAAGGUGAUCUCUUUCUUUAGACAUAUAUAUAUAUAUAUAUAUAUAUAUAUAUAUUACUAUUAUAUAUAAGAGAGAAUAGAAUUUUUUGAUAGUCCUCACAUGACAUUUUUGUUCUUUUACCCUUAAUUGAAGUUUUUACUACUUUAUAAGUUAACACACAUUUUAGUAAAUUUUAAAAACUUUAAGGUCAUUUACACGCCACUAAAAAUGAAAAAGGUUGUAGUGGGCUCCACAAAACAUACUCAUACAUAUUUGAGUCUUUAUUUUAUGUGAAAAUGUUAUUAAACUUAUUUCAAAUUAUAUUUGAUCUUAACAAUUAAUUAUAAACACAUAAAUAAUUAUUCUAUUGUUCAAUUUCUAUCUUGAUAAAUGCUUGAUUAUUGAAUAAAAAUAUUUUUCAUAUAAUAUUAUUUGUUGAUGUUAUUUAUAAUGUUUAAUUUGCAAUUUAAAUUUUUUGUUAUCGAUUAAUAAGUAUAGUUUAUUUUAUUUUAAUUUUACCUGUGAUUUUAUAUUGUACAUGCCGACAAACAUAAGUAAUUAAUAAAGAUUUCACUUAUGCAAAAUUAUAUUUUACAUUAAAUAAUAAUUAAAUUUAUUAUUGUUAAAUGCUUUUAAAAUUUACUUAUAUUAUAUAUAUGAGAGAAUAGUAUUUUUUGGUAGUUUUCAAAUGAUUUUUUGAUCUCUUUUGCCCUUAAUUGAAGUUUUUAUUACUUUGUAAGUAACACACAUUUUAGUAAAUUUUAAAAACUUUAAGGUCUUUUACACGCCACUAAAAAUGAAAAAGGUGACAGUGAGCACCACAAAGCAUACUCAUACUUAUUUAAGUCUUUAUUUUAUGUGAAAAUGUUAUUAAACUUGUUUCAAAUUAUAUUUGAUAUUAAAAAUUAAUUAUAAACACAUAAAUAAUUAUUCUAUUGUUCAAUUUUUAUCUUGAUAUAUGCUUAAUUAUUGGACUAAAAUAUUUUUCUUAUAAUAUUAUUUGUUGAUGUUAUUUAUAAAGUUUAAUUUGCAAUUUAAAUUUUUAAUUAUCGAUUAAUAAGUAUAGUUUAUUUUAUUUUAGUUUUACCUGUAAUUUUAUAUUGUACAUGGCGACAAACAUAAGUAAUUAACAAAAAUUUCACUUAUUUAAAAUUAUAUUUUAAAUUAAAGAAUAGCCAUAAUUAAAUUUAUCAUUGUUAAAUACUUUUAAAAUGUGUCGAAAUGUUAGUUAUAAUCCUUUAAUUUCAGUCAAAAAUAAAUUUCAUAAUAUGAUAGUUAGUUAAUCUAAUUUUAUGUGCACACAUUUUUAAUCUAAUUUGAUAAAUGACCAUAUUAAAAAUAAAUAAUAAAAUAUUAUAUAUAGUGUUAGAUUCAGUUUGAUUAGUUAGAAUUUCUAAAUAGCUAAACUCAGAAUUUAUUGUGCAUUAUAUUAAGAGUAAUAUCUUGGUGAUGAUUAACUAAGAUUCACGUGCAACACACGUACCCUAAAUGAGUAUGUAUAUAUAUAUAUAUAUAUAUAUAUUCUGAAAAUGCUUGGAAAAAAAGGUUGUAUAAGAAAUUAUAAUUUGAUCUCCUAAUAAAUUAUGAUAAAAAAUCAAUUUGAAUAAUCGGAGAUUAGAAACUCAAAAGAUUUCAGUAAAAUAGAAAUUGAAACUUUCAUACAAGCAUUUUUAUGAUUUUUUUUGAAAGUCUAAUAUUUAAAUUAAGAAAAAUAUUAUCCUUUAACUUUUCAAUACCAUUUUGUACUAUACUAUUUUAAACUCCUUAAAAGCUAUCACACUGAAAAAGAAAAAAGAAGGAUGAGAAAAUUUUUACAAGAUCUAUAAAUUCAAAAUCAGAGUCCAAGAAAUUAAAAAAGUAUGAGAAGAUAUCCAUAACAUGAAAUGGAGUCUUCUAGAGUAUAAAAGCUCACCACUUCAAUCCUACCCAAAGUUAUCCCUGAAUCCAACAUCACUGAGUAGGAGUAGUAUGGCCGAUUCCUGCAUCAUGUGGGGAUGCAACGCUCAAGACGAGUUAGCAGGUGAACGCUAGCAUGUAUUCAGGAAUAAGGAUAAAAUAAUACCAAUAUUUAAAAUCAGGUAAAUAACAAAGUACAGUCACACACACACACACACACACACACACACACACACACACAUAUAUAUAUAUAUAUAUAUAUAUAUAUAUAUAUAUAUAUAUUCUAUGCCGAGAAAGGGAACUGGGUUUAGCUGACACUUAGAAUUUUAACCUGGGUUGUGUAGCUUGACCGUCCUAAAACUACCCACAGGCUAUAUGAGUCCAGUGUUAUCCCCUGAACGGGCUCUAGUGCGUGUAGCUGCAUGAACCAGAGAUAUCAUAGGGGCCGAGGAUUCCCGUGUACCCUUUGCCCUCCAUGAUACAUAUAUAAAAGUAGAAACAUAGGGAAUUCACGUGUACCCCACAAGUCUAUGGUCACCAUGAAAAUCAUCAUGGCGGCAAACAUGAGUUUCCAGUGUCCGUCCAUUGGACUGACACCUUUACAGUUAGCUAUCACAACCCGUCAUUAUUUCCCAAUUAAAACCUUUAGCACAUAACAAAACCACCAAUUGCAGAAUUUAUUUACCAAGGCAUUAUGAAGUGAUGCCGUCAUACCGACUAUAGCUUGCAAGCAAUGUCAUUAGACAACACUUAGGGAAUUCCCAUGUACCUCACAAGUAUUCUAAUUAAAACAAGCCAUGGACACCAACGCCUUUCCAAUCCAUUUAAAAUCAUUUAAACCAAUUUAGGUUCCAUUACAAUCUUAUGUAAUGCAAAAUUUUCAAUAAAAGUCAAACUAUGUGACAAAAACAUUCUCAUUGGCAUUUUAACAAACAUGUUGAGGGCAUAUAGUUUCCAAAACCAAAACCAAGAACUAAUUAAUUAUUCCCAUGCAACCACAUGUUCAAACCAAUAUUAUAACAUGAAAAACUAUAAAUAGAACACGGAAAAACAUCGUCCAACCAUUAGUAAUACACAAAAUUUCCUCAAAGUUGAUCAACAUUAAUUUACGACCUGUAAACUUAUAAUACCCCGCAUUUUUCUAACUUAAUUUAACUCUCAGUACAUGAGUAUUCAUAUAUAAUUUUUGAAAUACUCAGGAAAUCCAUUUAUCUAGUUUGUCAGAUUUUUUUACUUUUUUCUCUCAUUUUAAUACAGUAAAUAAAUAAUUAAAUCCAAUAAAUUAGUGUUUAAUGCAAUUAAAGGCCCUCUAACAGCAAAAUUGAAACAUGAGUCUCUUAAAAACGCCUAUAAACUACUGCUUAGGAUUAAUUCAGAAUCAAUCUACUGUAACUUUUGGACGAUCCACAGAGCUAUUAUUUCCAGAAUGGCCAUCCAUCUUCAUAUGCUUUCUUUUGCAACUUUGUAACACUAGGGAUCUCUUCUUGUAUAUAAUAGAGUAUAUCAAUUUUUCCUAGCUUUUUCGUAUUUAACUUACUAAAAUCCUUUUUGUGUAAAAUAUUUUUCCUUCAUCAACAAGGAGCUAUUCGUCAUCCAUUUUCCUCAACAACCCAUUUACUUAUCAUUUGGGUUCGGGUUCGACCCGACUUCACCAUUCCUUCAUCAAUGUAAAAUUCUCCGUCGCCACCGUCGGCGGAUGCAAUGGCGUCAGAAUCGGCGCCAACCUUAACAUGAAAGCGCAGGCAGUGGAUUUGAGCAAAGAGGUAAUAAUGGAGGAAUCUUAUAAGUGUUUUGUUGGGUACAUGAGCUAGGGCACCAUUGUUAUUGUCCAGUGGCAGAGCAUGUAAAUGGUAUGAUAUUGAAGGGCGAGAGUAUUUAAAUUUGACUUCUGGUAUUGCUGUUAAUGCGCUUGGACAUGGUGAUCCUGAUUGGAUUAAUGUUGUUACUCAACAAGCAAAUGUAUUAACUCAUGUUAGCAACAUUUACUAUUCUCUCACUCAGGUUAGCUACCAUUUUGCAUAAUUUAGGGAUUAAAAAAGUGAUCCUUUUUUUUCCUUAAAAGUUUUGUUGCAUUUUGUUUUGAUGGUUGUUGAGGUGUGGUUUCAUAAUGUAUUGUAUUGUAUUAUACUCUAUAUUUUGAUGGAUAGAGUUAUUCAAUACCUGUUGUCAUUGGGAAGUGACACGUAUUCCGUGGAAUUAAUUGAGGUGGGCGAAAGAGAAAAAGAAAAUUAAUUAAUUAUAGUGCAUGUGGAUUUAAAAAGAUGACCGGUUUUUCUUUUUGAAGUUACUUCACAUUUUGUUUGGAUGGUUGUUACAUAUCUUUUCAUAAUGUAUUGUAUUGUGUUGUAUUAUUUUGAUGGAUACAUUGAAUAGGUUGUAUCAUUUAGUAUCGAUACAUAAUGUCACACAUGAGUACUUUGAAGGAAAAACCUAUAAGAAAUAUGACACGGGGUAAAGCUAAUAUGAAGUAAGUUAAAAGAUAAAAUAGAAUUAUUAUAUAGUAAGCGAAACAAAAUGAGAAGAAAAACCUGGCAAAUAAAAAGGUGAUGUUUUUUUUGAAAUUUCUUUAUACUUUGUUUGGAUGGUUGUUAUAUGUUGUUUCAUAAUGACCUUUUAUUAUUAGCUAAUUUUUACAUAUACUCUCUAUGUUAUUAUUUUUAUUUUGUAUUUUAUAUAAAUUUCUAAUUAGUGUAAAUUCAUAGUUUCUUUAGGUUCAAAAUAGUAUUUAUGACUUUAUUCAAAAUAUGUCAACCGUAGUCUUUUGAAAGAAAAGUUCAUUGUAUCUUAAAGCUUUAACUUCUUAUGUAACCUGAAAAAUAAAUUAAUGACAAUAUUAAAGAUGAUAGUUAACCUCUUGAAUAUGAAGAGGAAAGAAACGGUAAAUUGUAAUAAAUUCAUCAAGCAAACACUAAACAUAUAAAUAUAUUAUGGUACAAAAGAAUUGUGAAAAAUUAUGAGAUAAAUAUUAGAUUGUUGCGAACUUCUACUACUAUCUAUUGUCUCUUGUAUUUCAAUUAUUUUACUGAAUUUGUAAUAUGAGGUAAAAUCAAUUUCGUCUUUUAUCACAUGUUGUUUCCUUUAAUUUGUUAUUUAGGUGAUUUAAUUUAGUAGCUUUUUCAGACUCGAUAAAAUGCUCAAUCGUCCCUAAAUUUUUUGUUUGGUUUUUCUUUAGAAGUGAGUGCGUUUUUUUUACUAAUCAAUUUAGUUGCAAUUUUUUUUUUAAUAAUAAAGAUUGCAAUGAUGACAUUGUAUUAUUAAUUUAUUUUUACAUACUUUCAAUGUUUUUAUUUUUAUUUUGUAUUUUAUAUGAAUUUUUAAUUGGUGUAAAUUCAUAAUUUCUUUUGGUUAAAAAUAGUAUCUCUGACUUUAUUCAAAAUAUGUCAAUCAUAGUCUUUUGAAAGAAAAAGCUCAUUGUAUCUUAAAGACAUCUUAUGUAACUGAAAAAAUAAAUUAAUGACAAUAUUAAAGAUGUUAAUUAACCUCUUGAAUAUGAAGAGGAAAGAAAUGACAAAUAUUAAUUGUAAUAAAUUCAUCAAUCAAACACUAAACAUAUAAAUACAUUAUGGUAAAAAAGAAUUGUGAAAAAUUCUGAGAUAAAUAUCUGAUUGUUAUGAACUUCUGCUACUAUCUAUUGUCUCUUGUAUUUCUAUUUCGAUUAUUUUAUUGAAUUUGUAAUAUGAGAUAAAAUCAUUUUCUUCUUUUAUCACAUGUUGUUUAAUUCCUUUAAUUUGUUAUUCAGGUGAUUUAAUUUAGUAGCUUUUUCAAACUCGGUAAAAUGAUCAAUCGUCUAGAGGAAUUGAAUGGUAAUCGACUUGUGAAGUGAAUGUCGACGAGUGUUUAAAGAUUGUACAUUUUCUUCAUAUAUAUUUUUAUUUUUUAAUGAUAAAGAUUGCAACAAUGACGUUGUAUUAUUAAUUAAUUUUUAUAUAUUCUCUCUAUGUUUUUAUUUUUAUUUUGUAUAUUAUAUGAAUUUCUAAUUUGUGUAAAUACAUAAUUUCUUUUGGUUCAAAACAGUAUCUCUGACUUCAUUCAAAAUAUGUCAAGCAUAGUUUUUUGAAGAAAAAAAAGUUCAUUGUAUCUUAAAGACAUCUUAUGUAACUGAAAAAAAAAAUUAAUGACAAUAUUAAAGAUUAUAAUAAAUCUUUUGAAUAUGAAGAGGAAAGAAAUAACAAAUAUUAAUGGUAGUAAAUUCAGCAAUCAAAUACUAAACAUAUAAAUACAUUAUGGUAAAGAAGAAUUGUAAAUAUUAUGAGAUAAAAGCUCAAUCUUAAAGACAUUUUAUGUAAUUGAAAAAAAAUCUAUCUAUAUCUAAUAACAGAGGCAAAACUACCAUGUGGCAGCACCUCAUAAAAGCAGCAAUAUUUAAAAAAAAUAAAUUAAAAAUCUAUUUCUUAAACACACUUAACUUCCUCAUCCCUAUUUCAAUGGAAAUACAGUUAUUAAAAGAAGAAUAACACUGUCCACUUACAAAUAUUUUUUGCUAAUUUGCUAAUAAACUUUUACUUAUUGUUUUACUUAAAUAACAAAAGAUACAAAAAAGCAAUUUUCAUUACAACAUUAAAAAAACUACAAUUCAAAUUUAAAGAACAAUAAAUACAAAAUAAACAAAUAAUUACAAUACAAAUUUAAAUAACAAUAACUACAAAAUAAACAAAUAAUUACAAUACAAAUUUAAACAACAAUAACUGCCAAAAAAAAAAAAACAUUAACUAAAGAUGAAAAAAAAAACUUAAUUACAUUCUUAAAAAAUACUUAAACAUCAAUAACUGCAAAAAAAAAAAUUAUAAUAAUUAGGACAAAAUUUUAAACAACAACAAAUGCUAAAAAGAAAAUGAGAUAUACACACGCCAUCUAACAAGUUUGUUUAUUUUAAUUAUUAAAAUUUAAACCAGUAACUGCCAAAAAAAACAACAUUAACUAAAGAUGAAAAAAAAACUUUUUAAUUAAAUUCUUAAAAAGUAUUUAAACAUCAAUAACUGCCAAUUUUUUUUUAUAAUAAUAAGGACAAAAUUUUAAACAACAACAAAUGCUAAAAAGAAAAUGAGAUAUUCACACGCUACCUAACAAGUUUGUUUAUUUUAAUUAUUCAAAUUUAAACCAAUAAAUAAGAAAUUUAAACAGAAACGUGAUAUCCUUUUAAUUAGGGAUAGUUAGAAGGAGUUGGUUUUAAAACCACCCACUAAACUCCUUUUUUUAUAAUUGUCUUUCAUUACAACUCAUUUUCUUAUUCGUAUAUAAUCCUUACUAGGUUCUACAUUUUCUGCAGUUUAUACAUGUCCUUAUAUUUCUGACAUUCUGCAAUUUACGUAGUACUGCCAUAAUCAUAUAUGGCUUUUCAUAGCAUCUCACAAAUUACAAGCAGUUCUAUGCAAUUAAAUUUGAGAGUAAGAACUAUUCGCCUUUGUCAAUUGCAGGAUAAAUUCAAACCUGAUGUACCAUAUUCAUUAGAUAUGGUUUUACAGGAUUCUAAGGUACUAAUUGCUUUUUACUACUUUUUCAUAUUUCACGGUGUUUACAUUAAUAAUUUCCUUUUUUAUUUUAAAGUUGUAUAUACACUGAACAAUACUAAUUCUCUGUCUCAAAUUAGGGCGAUCGCAUGCAUGCUUCAAUUGGCAAGUAUGAUAUUAAGUUUUUCAAGAACAAGAUGGAGGAACUUGAGUUAUAUCGCAUUAACAACUUUGUUGUUACAUCAAAUUUCAAGAAAUUUAAGAUUACAACGCACAAGCACAGGUUGAUUUUCAUAAAAAUGACUUCUGUCGAGAAAAUUACUGAUCCUUCAUUUCCUAUGGACAUACUUAAUUUGUGUCCAUUUGACCAACUCACAAUUCACCAUAUAGUCGAUGACACGAAACUUUUCGGUAAUGUUUCUCUUCAUUGUCAGUUUAAAAUUUAUCAAUAAUCUGUACUUUUUAUUUUUACUAAUCCAUUUAUAUUUAUAGAUGUUGUUGGUCAGAAUGUCACAUAUGAAGCUGUUCAAACAUUCAAGCAAGGAGACAGUAAUAGUGUAUUUAUAAAUAUUGUGCUAGAAGAUGAUAAGUAUGCCUUAUUUUCUUCUUUACAUUACAAUUGGCACUGCUAUAUUCACUAAUCAUUGAUAACAGAUGAAUAAGAAUUAGAGAACAAACAAUCAAUUUAAUAAAUACACAUUUUAUAUGGUAAAGCUGCAACAUUAAAUACACAUAUAUGGUAGAUUGAAAAUAGUAAUGUAAAUCAUUUAAUGAAAUCUUUAUUCUUACGGGAGAAAUAGACUUUCAACAACUUUAUGGGGCGAACUUGUGGAUCAAAUUCAACCUUAUUUGAGUGCAUCCACAGAUGAACCUUUGAUUAUGGUUCUUCAAUUUAUGAAGGCUCAAAAAUUUAGAGGUAUGAAUAUUUCAAACUAUAAUACAUAACAGAUUUAUUCAAAAAUUAUUUUUAUUUUCAAAUUCUAAAUAUUAUUUCAAACAGAUGUCUACUCCGUUUGUAGUUGUUGGUACCAAACUAAGCUAUGGAUAAAUCCAUCUCUGCCGCAAUCUAUUGCUUUUAAAUCCAGGUUUGUCACAUCCAACUAUUGUUUUAACACAUUUAUCAAUUAAAUUUAAUAUUAAAAUUUAGAAUAUAGAUUAAUUUAUAAUUUUAUACUAUUUUUCAUUCAGAUUAAAUGCAACAUGUGCUUCUAACUAUGAGCGGCUUAGCCAGACAAGUUCCCAACAGUGUUAUUCUAUCAUGGAUGAGUUAACCAAAGGAAUUGUACCUUUUAAAUAUAUCAAUGAUUUGAUUGUAUGCUUAGAAGUGAGUUGAAUAAUUUUUUUCAUUCCUAAUUAACUUAGCACAAUGUGUUUAAAUAUUAUAACAAUAUUUUCUCUAUCAAACAGGAAGCUAGCUAUUGGAUUGCUGCAAAAAUUGUUUGUUUUGAUCUUGAUCAUGGAUGGUCAUACAUGACUUGCAACAAGUGUAUUAUAAAGGUUGAACAAGAUGAAAACUCAUUUUUUGUCCAAAAUGCAAUUCAGAGGCAAAAGUUGUUCACAGUAAUUACAAUCCUACAUGAAUUUUUAUCAAGAAAAAACUUAAUAUUGUUAACAUGAUAAAGAAUGAAUUUCAGGUAUAGGCUACAAGUUCGUGUAAUGGAUGAAACUGGUCUUAUAACCCUAUUACUUUGGAAUCGUGAGGCUGUUCAACUUAUGGGGAAAACUGCAAAAGAGCUAAAGGAAGACUUAAUUGAUGAUGAUGAAUGUUCGUAUCCAAGUGAACUGGAUGAUAUCGUUGAAAAAAAAACUCAAGUUUAAAGUCAUGGUGAAGGAAUCUAAUAUAUACAAGCAGGAUGAGGUCUACAAAGUUCUAAAAUUUGCUGAUGAUGAAUCUCUUUUCAAGGAAUAUUGUCAUCCUUCACUAAAAUAAAUAUAUACAAGCAGGAUGAGGUCUACAAAGUUCUAAAAUUUGCUAAUGAUGAAUCUCUUUUCAAGGAAUAUUGUCAUCCUUCACUAAAAUACACUGUAAUAUAAAGAAAUAUAAAUCUCAAGUUCUAUAAAAAUUAUAAAUUUUAUUUUAAUGACAUUACUGUAUUUCAUUAGGAUUUUCUGUUGAAGGGGCACAAAACAAGGGAGGUGAUGAGCUUUUUGAGGUAAUUAUAUGUUGCAUUUGUAGGUGUUUAAAUCUAAACUCAUCAAAAAGUAUAAUAAUUUUACUAUAAAGUAAUAACAUACCUUUUGUAAUGGAUAAUCAUCUUUUUUUUUUCAUCACAAACAUGCAUUUUUGUAUCCUGUGUAUAUAUUUUCUUUGGCAUAUCAACCUUUUGACACAAAUAAAAGAGAGUUAUAAUUAUUAAAAACUUCAUUCUAUCAUUUACAUAAUUAUUAUACAGAUAUUUAUCAAAAUAAAAAAGCUGAAUAAAUUUUAGUAUCAAUACAAGUUUUAUUCUUAUCUAACACAAUUUUAAUCUAUGCAAUCUAUUCCAGACUCCCAUCAAGAACAAUCUAUCAGGUUGUGGAUCAUCUGUAACAGAAAUUAGUGUUGAUUUGAUAGAAAAGCAGUAUACCAAAAGAAGCAAAGGUGUUGGAAAAUUGUCAAUGCAGGAAUAUGAUGAUGAAUGUAAUGACAAACAAUCCACCAACAAGAUCCGCAAAGUGAUUAAGAAGGAAAAAAAACAUGAGUAGUUGAGUCCAUGUUCAACUGUAACUUUUAUGUUAAUUUUAGUUUCAGUUUAUUUUGUAAUGAACAAGUACUAUAUUAGAUAUAAUGAAGAAUAUGUGUGGUUGUUUCACUUCAUAAAUUACAGAUUGAAAAACAUCUUUAAAUAUCAUGCAGAAAAAACUGAGCAUGAUUGAAAAAUAAUAUGAAAAAAAUUAAAAAAUGAGAGUAGUAGUAUCCUUACAUAGAAACAGAUCAUUAUUCCGUCUUCAAUUAACUUGCUAGGCGUGAAAAAUGAUAGUAAUAGUAUCCGUACAUAGAAACAAGAUCAUUAAUCAGUCAUCAAUUAACUUGACAGCCGCAACCUUCUUGGUUGGUUCCAGGACAUACAUUAACUCAGCACUGCAGCCCGUGCAUAAAUGAUUCUGCACACGGACAACAAAUAACUCAUACUUAUCUUAGGAACAAUAACAUAGACCAAAUAUGAUAAUUCAUUAAAUUGACAGUUGAAAAUGGACCUGUAUGCUUUUCAAGGAAAAUAUCAUAAGACCACAAGUUUGACACAAUAAAGAGACAUGAGAGUGGCCUAUGGAUUCAAUGGUUGCAGAUACCCCUGUGGUAGAGUUUAAUGACUACAUCUUGGAAAAUUGGCCCAUUUAUACAAAUUAUCACCCUAACCACAUGUAACUUUUUCAUCUUCAUCCUGUUAUAAUCUAAGAGAAUAAAAUUCUCAAUUUUUGAAAUCUAAGAAGUUAUUCUGGAGGUCACCUGAUGCUAAGACAUAUCAUUGAAUAUUAACCGAAUGAUUUCUCACAUAAAGUAAGUGCAUGUGAGCCAAUCCAGAUGCAGAUAUAAUAAGAUUUUUGUCAAAAAAUUAGGUGAACUUUCAUAGCAUUCUGGACAAUCUUAAUAUUUGCCUUAACUUUACAACUAGAAGACAGUAUCUAGCUUUAUCAUAAAAGAUUAGUUAAAAGUAUAGUUUCCAAGAGUCACAAGAGGAGACCUGUGCACUUCAAUACCAGUUUUAGAGGUUAAAAGGAUAAAAGAAUACCAGUUUUAGAGGUUAAAAGGAUAAAACAAUUAAAUAGAUUUUCACUAGAUGAUAAAACAAAUGAACAUGCCAUGCAAUGGACCCGAAGUAAGAUGUAGCUAUUACAAAGGGCAGUAUGGUGCACUUAUCUCCCGCUAUGCGGAUUUGGGGACAGAUAGGACCGAAUUGGGUCUUAUUGUACACAGUCUAACCUUGCAAGUUUUAGUAAUUCAGGACCACGAAAUAUAAUGUGCUAAUACCUAUACUAAGCCAUAAUGUUGAGAACAACUUCGCGAAGUUCCUAACAAUCUAAAAGCCACCCUUUUUUUGGGAGGUAAUAUCAUCUACACCACCCUGAACAAACUCUACGGACCUUAGCAGGUCCCUAAUUAGACAUUAAAGGUCUUUCCUGAUAUAAUGACAGUUAGCACAACCUUCUUUUUGCCUUAGGAGUAAAAUAUGGCAUUAAGAAUCAAGACACAGAAAAUUAAACAGAAAACCUGGCCACUCACCAGUUGUCUUCUGCCUAUUUGCAGCUAUUAGUAUCCAAUAGUUCACCUAAUUGUUCUUACGCUAGUUAGUUGUUCCACACAUCAAUUAGUUCAACGAUUCAUCAAAGCACAAGGUAUUUGACCCUAGACCAAUGUCUUCUAUUAUGAGGCAAAUAACUUACCAACAGUUCCAAAAGUGUCAACGGAUCCUGAAUUCAGCACAUGUUUCUGCACGGCUAGAGUCAACUCUGAAGCUGGCAGUCCAGCAUCAUUUCUGUUUUAUAUUAGUUGCGGGGAACAAUGAGCCAUAUAUUGGAAUAUAUAAUUAGCAGCAAACUACUGAAGAAGAGAACACGCAAGACCAGUAUUCUCCGUUGCAAUCAAUAUAGAAUCAGAUAAAUGCCUCUCAAGUCUCAACAUCUUGAAAAUAAUGUAGAUGAUAGUUGAAAAAGAAUAGAAUACAAAAUGCUUUACGGCCUGAGAGUCGCAAUGCAAGUCAGGGAGCUUACUACAAAAGAAGAUGGUUUUCAAGAAGCAUAUUACAUGAAUCAACUAUACAAUUUGCUUAAUUUUUCAAGAUUAGAAUAAUGAGAAGCAUGUGGAUGAAGAAGGUGGCAAGCACACGAACUUUGAAAGUUGAUACAUUAAUAGUCAGAGUGGAUUCUUCAGUAGUGAAAAUUCCUGCAGUAUAAAGUUUUAAACUUUCUAAACAAAUUCUGAGCAAAAGCAACAGCAUAGACCACGAUCCUGAUGGUAAUUAUAUAUUUAUCACAACAUAGACAGGAAAACCAUCUUAAUACUUCUUAAAUAUGAAAAAUAUCUUUCGUGAAAGAGAAGUUGAAAGACGGCAUAGAGAUCUGCAGCUUUUACAGAAAAUUUCAAAUAAAAAGGGAAGAUACUCUUGAAUCUGUGGAAUCAUGGAACAACUCUGGCUCAUAAAAAAUAGUUACCUUUUGGCAUCAGUGCAGCUCCUGCAUGACCACCAUUGCCUUCAAAUGUUACUUUGAUGCUUGCUGGAGCGGCAAUUGCAGUCACAACACCAAUCGAAUGCUUUGAUGCUUGCUGGAGCGGCAAUUGCAGUCACAACACCAAUCGAAACACCUUCAUUGGCAGAUACACCAACUUAUUUAUUGAUAUGACUACAAUUAAACCUGUACUUGCAUCGGAUGAUGAAGAAUAGGAUAAGCAUUUAACAACAGCUGACCUUUUUCUAGAAUAGGACCUUGCUCUAUGUGCAACUUGACGAAAGCAGAAUAAGUUCCUUUUUUGAGAAAGACUUCAGACAAAUCCCCCUUAGCAUUUGCGUAACCAACAGACUUAUCAGCAUCAGAGAAGGAAACAUUAUGGCUGUCUUUUGUACUUAUCAGUUGUUCUGCAAAUUGUACAAUUCCUGCCAGCAAACGGCUGGAAAUAUAAUGACCAUUAGAACCUCAACUGGACAUGGGACAUGUUUAGUUACUGCUAAAUUGCAACAUAAGCAGUCAAAAACCAAAUGCAUUUGCUUAUGAUUUUAGGUGUUAAAGUAAGUGAUCAAGCUUCUAACCUUCCCAGACAGCUAAUCCCAAACCUCGUGGGCUCUUCUGAGGUAAACAUAAUCACUUCCAGUGUCCUCUGAGGCUUGAAACCCGACCUAUGGUAAUUUUGAUUUUUAAUCAGCAAGUAAAAGCCAGAGUUCUGUAGUCAAAUAAAGUAGUAGCCAAACACAAAGUGUAUUUAUAAUUAUUGAGCUCUCUGAGUUCCAUGACUUGGACAGUACCUCUUUUAAAUUGCAAAUGAGUUUUUACAGUAUAAAAUGCCAGAAUUUCUUACCAAUUCCUUUAUGCAUAGCUAGCGUAAACUUGAAUAAAUGCAUUCUGUGUUAGAGAGAUAUUCAAUAUUAUUGAAAUAUCCAAUAUUAUCGAAAUAUAAAACAUCUUAACAUAAGAGUAGUGAAGUUUUCUACUUCAUCAAAAAACAAAAUAUGAUAUUAAUUAUAUAUGUGAAUUCAAUUUGGAGUGCUUUGCAAACUUUACCUGCCUCUGCAACAUAGUUGAUGGAGGUCAUUAUGAACUCCAAUACACCAAAAUAGGGUUGUCCAGAUGGUUAAAAUACAGGCAGCUCCAAAGCUCCUCGAACAUUGUUAAGUAGUGCAUGAUCAAGCCAAGGAAGCUCUUUACUGGAGUAUUAUUGCACGUUUGUUGUCUAUACAGGCAACUAAGACGGAAGACACAAACUGGAAGUUUAAGAACUCACCAGUCUCUCCUUCAUCAGCAGAAAUAUACAUUAGAAAAAACAUUUGUUAUCGAUGAAGCCCAUUACAAUCUGGGUCAAUUACAAAAGGCUGUCCAGAAGUUGUAAGCACAGACCAGCCAACUUCCAUCUUAAUUGACUUUGCAGCAUUUGGAAUGUUAGAUUUGGGACCAAUCCAUCACUGUUCAAUGAAAGUCCAUUGAAAAAUCGACACAUUGCAUGUUCCAGAACUCCACAAUACUCAACUGCUGACAAAUUAAAUAUCAGUUAAAAAAUAAAAUAAAUAAUCUGCAAAAAAAAACUGCCUAUAGUCAACUGCUUUUGUUUUCUUAAUACUAAAUAUAUUUUUCAGACAAAUUACAGUUUCAUUCACUUUUGUCAUGGAAGAUCAAAAGAAACUUGCAAGAAGAAAUAGAAUAUGCUUACGAAAAAUCAUAAACGAGGAAAAUUUUUGUCAGAUAACAAUGGCAUGAAUCUUUAUUCUUUGUUCUUUUCCAUAUAUUUUACAUUUCCCCUUUAGUAGCUUUGUGAUAUCACUCUUUUGUAACACUGUUUAAUAUAAUUUCAAGUUUGAAAAUAUAUAUUCUUUACAAAGAAUGGCUAACAUUAAUAUGUGUAUGACAGAUUUUGAGAGCAGUUCAUCUACAACUACAAAUCAACCUAAGGAUAAAGGACUAUUGGUAGAUGAGAAUAGUUAUUCAAACCAUUUAAAUAUGCAAUAUAAUAAUAUGUCAGGUAUGUCAUUUUAAAAAUUGUAAUUCAUACUCUUACAACAACUUCAUUAAUUUUAAACUUUAUGCAUCAAGGUCAUGUGCUCUCAAACCAACAAACCCCUGAUGAAAAUGUAGAUGAAGGUAUAUUUGAAGGUACGUAGAUAGAAACCCAAAUACAAUUGAUAUUGUUAAACUGUAUUAAGAUAUCCAACUUUAUUUCUUUUUAAAUAUAUUAUUUUAAUAUUAUUAUUUGUAGAUGAUGAAAUAGAAAGUUAGACAACUAACAAUCAAGGUAUGUUGUUUGUUAUAUUUAUUAAUAUUUCAUAAUUACUGUAUUAUUUACAAUAAGUACAUUGACUGCAUAUUUAUUUUACUUUGACAAUAUUAGAUUAUUGGGAUAUAGGAGAUCCUACAUGUGAAUGUGAAUGCUGUGGGGCAUACUUCUGCUACGAUGAAAGAAUUGAGAAGAAAUAUAAAAAUAAAAAACCAGUAUUUACUUUAUGUUGCAGUAGCGAAAAAAUCAAGCUGGCAAAUCCUAAAAAGCCUCCUUUUAUUUGAAUGGAGUUAUUGCUCGGAUCAGGUAAAUGUAUUCAUUUAUAAAUCAAAUGACAAAAUCUCUGUAUGAAUAUAGAAAAGUUCAAAAAAACUUUGAUUUCAUGUAGGAAAAAAAUGUAAUCAUUUCAGAGAGAAUAUUAGAACAUAUAAUUCUAUGUUUUCUUUUACAUCAAUGGGUGGAAAAGUUGAUGCAUCUGUCAACCAAUCAAAGGGACCAAGAACAUUUCGAUUGUCUAGGCAAAAUUAUCAUAAAAUUGGAAGUUUACUGCCUACAGAGGGAUCAUCUCCAAGAUCCGCACAAUUGUAUAUUUAUGAUACAGAAAAUGAGGUGGACAAUAGAAUUCAGGCUAUCAGGUGAGUACUUAUAUUAUUGGUCAUUAAAAUUAUUUUUAUUUUAAUUAAACUUCUCAAAUACGAUCACAAAUUAACUUUAUUUUAAUAUUUUAUUCUUACAGUCGUGGCGAAAGUAACAUUCAAAUAAAUGCUGAAAUUGUGAAUGAACUGAAGCAAAUGCUAGAUGAACACAAUGUAUUAGCAAAGUGUUUUACAAUGAUAAGAGAUAGAUUUUAAGUAGUUGAAAAUUCAAAUCUGCGACUCAGAUUGAUAGGGAAAAGAGGCUUCGAUGGAAGAAGAUACAACUUACCAUCAGUUUCAGAGGUUGCAGCUUUGGUCGUUGGUGAUUUUGAACCAAAAAUGUCAGACAGAGAUAUUAUUAUUGAAAGUCAAUCUGGACAGCUUAAGAGGAUAAAUGAAUUGAAUGCCUCAUAUUUAGGAUUGCAAUAUCCUCUACUCUUUCUAUAUGGUGAAGAUGGAUAUAGAGAAGAUAUUCCUUUAAAUCUUAAGGAUGAAUCAAGUGGUGGAAGAAAAUGUGUUAGCUGCCGUGAAUACUUCUCAUACAAAAUUCAAGAAAGGAAGCAUGAUGAUUCAACUAUUGUGUUAUCUAAAAGAUUAUUUCGGCAAUUCUUAGUUGAUGGUUAUACAAUGAUGAAAUCUUUUAGAUUGAAAUUUAUUAGGCUUCAUCAAAAAAAGUUGAGAUGACACUUUUAUAAAGGGUUAGAAAAAGCUGUUUUAAGAAGAGACACAGAACCGUCUUCUCAAGGACAGAGAGUUAUACUUUCUUCAUCAUUCACUGGAGGGGCACGUUACAUGUUGCGAAAUUAUCAGGAUGCCAUAAAAAUUUGCAAAUGGGCUGGAUACCCUGAUAUUUUCAUCACAUUUACUUGGAAUUCAAAAUGGCCAGAGGUUACUAGAUUUGGGAAGUGUAGGGGAUUGUCUCCGGAAGAUCGUCCAGACAUUUUAACAAGGAUUUUAAAAAUCAAAUUGGAUCAAUUGUUAAGAGAUCUGCGAGACAAUAAUGUUUUUGGUGAAGUAAAAACAGGUAUAACUUCAUGCUAUAUGACAAUAUUACAUUAAUUUUUAAAUUAUUUGUAAGCUACUAUUAUAAUUAUCAACCAAAAAACAAACAGUACUAAUAUAUCUUUUUAUACAGUGAUUUAUACCACUGAAUUUCAAAAGAGUGGUUUGCCUCAUGCACAUUUCCUACUUUUUCUUCAUAAUAAAUGUCCAAAUACUGCCAAUAUUGAUGACAUUAUUUCAGCUGAAUUGCCUGACAAUUUAGUUGAUCCUCAAUAUUAUGCGACUGUUACAAAUUUAAUGAUUCAUGGACCAUGUGGUACUGCAAGAAAAUCUUCUCCUUGCAUGCAAAAUGGUAAAUGUACAAAGCACUUUCCAAAAAAAAUUUGUGAAUUCAACUACAGUUGAUGAUGAAGGGUAUCCUAUAUACAGAAGAAGGGAUGAUGGAAGAUCUACAAAGAGAGCAGGUAUUGAUUUAGAUAAUAGGUAUGUUGUGCCACACAAUAGACUCUUAUUAUUGAAAUAUGGUGCACAUAUUAAUGUGGAAUGGUGCAACCAAUCAAGGUCCAUUAAAUACUUAUUUAAGUAUGUUAAUAAAGGCCAUGAUCGUGUAACUGCUACUUUUUCUCAAAGUGAAAAUACUGAUGACUCAAGAGUUGUUGAUGAAAUAAAUAUGCAUUGUGAUUGUCGGUAUAUAUCGCCAUGUGAAGCAGCUUGGAGAAUUUUUAAAUUCUCAAUCCAUCAUAGAGAACCAUCUGUAGAAAGGUUACCCUUUCAUCUGGAUGGCAAUCAAAAUGUCAUAUUUUCAAAUGAUGAUUCGAUUGAUGUAGUAGUUAACAGAUCAACCGUAAAAGAAUCAAUGUUUUUAAAAUGGUUUGAAGCAAAUAAGGAAUUUCCUGAAGCAAGAGAGCUAACAUAUGCAGAAUUUCUUCUAAAGUUUGUGUGGAAUCAACAAUUGAAGAAAUGAAAAAAAAGACAAACUUCUGCAUUUUCUAUUGGCAGAAUUUUCUUUGUUCCUCGGGGAUCUGGAGAGCAAUAUUAUCUUAGAUUGUUGUUGAAUGUUAUCAAAGGUCCAACAUCCUAUGAGGAUCUUACAAAAAUAAAUGGUCAUGAUCAUAAGAAUUUCAGGGAUGCGUGUUAUGCUCUAGGUUUAUUAGACGAUGACAAAGAGUACGUGGAUGCUAUAGUGGAAGCAAGUAAUUGGGGAAUGCCAUCAUAUCUAAGGCAAUUAUUUGCUAUGCUACUUUUAUCAAAUUCAAUGUCACGUCCAGAGAUUGUUUGACAAUCAACAUGGCAUUUACUAUGAAAGGAUAUCCUUCAUGAACAAAGAAGAGUUUUAGAAAACCCAGGUACUUAAAUAAAACUUUUAGUUUUUAUUAAAUAUAUAUAAUAUAUUUUAUUUCAUUCACAAAAAUUUGAAAGCAAAUGAUAUAAAUACACUUCUUCAUUAUCUAAUAAAAAUUUUCAUGUUCAUAUAUAUCAUUAACCAUUUCCAAAAUAUACUUUUCAAAUUUAAUGUAAUUACUUAUUUAUGUUGUUGUGCAUUUUCAGAAGUUAACCUAACAGAUAAUGAUCUAGAAAAUCUUUGCUUGCAAAAGAUUGACCACUUUAUAAAAGGUUGCAGAAGAAGUUUUCUUAAUUUUCCAACAAUGCCAAUGCCUGUUUAUAACGAGGAAGAGGUUGACCAGAAUAAUAGAUUAAUCUUUGAUGAAAUGCGUUAUAACAGAUGAGCUUUAGCAGUGGAACAUCAACAAUUGGUCGGGAAUUUGACAGAUGAGCAGAACACUAUGUAUGAAAAGAUAAUAACAGUUGUGAAUGAAAACAAGGGUGAAUUUUUCUUUUUAUAUGGUUUUGGAGGAACAGGUAAAACUUUUAUUUGGAAUACUUUGUCUACUGCCAUAAGAUCUAAAGGAGAGAUUGUGUUAACAGUUGCUUCUAGCGGAAUUGCAUCUCUUUUGCUACCAGGUGGUAGAACAGCUCACUCAAGAUUUGUAAUUCCACUAAAUGUAACCGAAGAUUCGACAUGUAAUAUCAAGCAAGGUACUCCUUAGCAAAUUUAAUUAUCAAGAUAAAGUUGAUUAUCUGGGAUGAAGCACCAAUAAUGCAUAGAUACUGUUUUGAAGCUCUUGAUAAAAGUCUAAGAGAUAUUCUUAGCUUUAAAGAUUCAUCUAAUUCACAAAGACCUUUUGGAGGUAAAACAGUUGUUUUUGGUGGUGACUUCAGACAAAUAUUACAUGUUAAUGCAACUCUCAAUUCUUCAUAUUUAUGGUCUCAUUGUCAACUGUUGCAACUAACAAAGAAUAUGAGAUUACAAGGUACUGAAAUAGAUACAGAUCUGGAUGAGUUGAGAGAUUUUGCUAAUUGGAUUUUGGAUAUUGGUGAUGGUAGGAUUGGAAGUUCAGUUGAUGGCAUUGAAAAAGUUUCUAUACCAAAGGAUCUUCUGAUAAAUGAGUCCAUCGAUCCAAUAUCUGUUAUUGUCGAAAGUACGUAUCCAGAUUUUAUUAGUUGCUAUAAUGAUAUAGGAUACCUACAAAAAAGAGUCAUUCUUGCUCCAACUCUUGAUAUGGUGGAAUCAAUCAAUCAAUAUAUGAUUUCUCUCAAUCAAAAUCCUGAGAAAUCAUAUUUGAGUUCUGAUAAAAUUUGUGACUCUGACCAAACCUAUUCAGCAUUGGAACAUGUACAUACACCAGAAUUUUUAAAUAUUAUUAAAUGUUCUUCUGUACCAAAUCAUGCUAUCACUUUAAAGGUUGGAGUUCCGGUGAUGUUAUUAAGAAAUAUUGAAUUGUGUAAUGGAACAAGGUUAAUUGUAACUAGACUUGGAAAUCAGGUAAUUGAAGCUAAAGUUUUAUCCGGACGGAUGGUUGGACAGAAAGUGUUUAGUAAAUGAAUCAUAAUUAACACAAUUAAAUGGGAGGCCCGCAUCAUACAACCAUACCGCGAAAGCAUUUACCGCUCGCUCCCUUAAUAUUUUUUUUGUGUCAUUAAUUCCUCGUCCUCCUCCUACUCCCGCCUUUUCAAAGCCGGUGUUAUGUUGUGGCUUUUGUGGAUAAAACUUAUCUAUAGGACCUUUCGUCACAUGUGCCGAGGAUGAUACACUACCACCGCUUGAAGACAUUUUUUGAUAUUUGGAGGGAGGCAUCAUUUCCUCAAGUUCAUUCAUAUCAUCAUCAUCAGUGAUAUUAUAUGAUGGCAUAUAUCGUUGAUUCUUUGGAUUUGUUGUGACUUUGCUAUCAACAAAUGUCUUUACUUCAUCCCUAAUGUUUGCCAGACAAGAUUGACAUAUCCUCUCAUUUUUGUUUCCACCUAACAAGUGUUGUUUGAAUCGUGUAUACCGCCAUUUAUGGUACGUCGACAAAAAUUACAAAUCACCGCAUCUGUUGUCGGUCCUUGUGUACCAUAAUUCCAUCCUAUAUCUUUUUGUUUGCUACUAGUAGAUUGAGAGUGAGACGCCAUUGAAGUUGAAAACUGUUAAUGAUCAAAUAAUUUAAUUAGUAUAGUACCAUCAUGCUAUUUUAAUUCUACAUAAGUUAUUAUUUAUUAAAAAAAAUACAUAAAACAGUGCACUGGUUGACUGGUUAUUACUGUAACAGUAAGUUCACUGAUACAGUCACAGAUACAGUGACAGCCGGCCGGAAAUAGAAGAAGAAGAUGAUAAAAAAAGGAAAAAAAAAAAAAACAGCACCAAAAUACCAAGUCCAAUCCAGCGAUUAAGAAGAAGAAAAAGGAAGGGAAAAAAAUAAAAAUCAAAGCUUACCAGAGUAGCAGAAGUUGCCGGAGUUACAGUUGUGCGAUGAAUGAUAGCAGCCACAGUGAAUAACUUGUAAGUUGGUAGUGUUAAAAUGUGUAGAUACACCCUAAAAUUAUCUUAUAUAUCCAAAAUCCUAAUUUUUUAAAAAAACAAUUAAAAGGUGUCGCCUUUCUCGCCACUUCGCCAUUCUCGCCAAGGCGUCGCCUUUUCAUUUUCGCCUCGCCAUGGACUGCUGUGGUGACAUAGGGUCGGCUCGCCUCGCCUCUCGCCAUUGGCGACGUGGCGCUCACCAUUUACAACACUGCUGGAUAGUGUCGAGCUUCAGCGGAAGACCCAUUAUGACUUCUGUCAUCAUAGUUCUCUGAUUGUUGUCGAAUUCAUUGUCAGCUGAGCUCUCCAAUACCUAAAUUCGGUUUUUAAGCUCAGCCAUCUGCUCCUCUAUUUUGGCCAUUUGCUUUAAUUUCUUCAGAGGCUAGCUAUUUUAAUGAUAAAUAUUUAGUUAUUAAAAUUUGUUGACGCCAAAUUUUUACACACCAAAUCAGUGAAUAUAUAAUGUCUUUUUCCUAUGGUGUUUGGUCUCGAUCCAUGUGGGUCUAUCGGAAACAACCUCUUUACCUCAUCUCUGAGAUAGUGGUAUGGAUUGUGUACAUUCUAUCCUAUCCAGACCCAAGUAUGUGCGAAUAUACUGAUAUGUUAUUGUUGCUGUUUUGUUUUUACUCAAUCUGUUAGCACUUAAUUGUAUUCAAUCAAUACGGACCUUUAGAUGGAAAGUAGACAAACAUGUCAUUUUGCUAUUCUUUUGUCGUUCUUAUUUUAUCUUAUUUUGUGAUAAGCAAACAUGGUAUUGAUUUGUGAUAAAGUUUAAAAAAUGCAACAAUAUUUUAGCUUGUGGUAGUGAAAAUGGCUCUAUCCGUACUCCUUUCGUUGAGGUUUGUUCAUCUUUUCAUUUGGAUAAUGAGGUAUAUGCUGAUAUCCCUGUAGUUUUAAAUUUGACUUAAUUAGUCAGUUAAAUCUUUUUCUGUUUUGAAUUGUACAAGUAUCAUAAAUCCGCUAUCAUGUGUUGUAACGCCUUCUAUAACUGCAUUGCUGUUAUUGCCACCAUACUUGGGGUAAGUUUGACUUACUGAUUUCAACCUUUUUGUAGGGUUAGUGACAUAUCCCCCGAAGUAACUGAACAUGAUAAUUUUUAAUCAUCCAACUCGAGCAAGAAUAAAAAGAGUACAGUUCGAAGGGAAGGAAUUGAACUACUACUUAACAAUUUUGUUUUUUCUUCAUUCAUAUUUGUAGCUAUUCCAAACCAUUUCUUCGAUGAUAAUUCUGAAUGCUACUAUCAGUGCUCUCUCCUCCUUGAAAAGAAAUGUUUUGUUUUCCUUUCAUGUAUUCCAUCCUUCGGAGUUUCAAUGGUCUUUGAAAAUCCAUCAAAAGGACUUUCAAAGUUGCAGCAUAUGUUACCUCAAUUGGAAUUCAAUUAGUCGACAUUCAGGUUGGUAACUUAAGAAGUAAAAGAUAGUAAGUUCUUUCCUUUAUUCCCAAAAUCUAUUUCACUAUAUUUUGUGUCUUCUGAAAUAUAUCAUUCAAAUUAUCAACAUCAAAUAAUCUUCACUUUUUACUUAAUUUGCUUUUCUAAAACACAGAAAAAACAAUUUUGGAUUGUCAUAUCAGUACAUGUCUGUAACUAAAUUUUCAAGCAUUUCGUUAUUUUGCUUCAAUUUCUUGCAGAUUUGACGACAAUAUGGAAGAGAAAUAUUUUUUUCAAUAUUUGGACCAAAAGGUAAGUAUUAUUAUUAGUUGGUACUGUCUUCCUUCUCCCUUUCUUCUAAGUUAAUUUUUGCACCAACAUCUACUAUUUAGUUACUACGCCUAAUGAUAAAACUUGUAUCAUUGUGACACUAACAUAAACCUGCGAAUCGGGUAAGGUUUCUGAAGUAACUAUCUCAGAUUACUUAUGUUUCUACUUUCCUACCACCUAAUUAAAUAUUAGUCAAUUUUCUUUUGUGUAUUCUUAAUCUUUUCUUUAGAAUUUGUUUCUCUUUUGCCAUAGUUUAUUCAGUCCUGUUGUAUUCACAAUGUGUUUUUUCCGGUGUUGUGUUUUGUGUUGAUCUAUUGAGACCAACUACAAUUCGUAUAAAGUGAAGUCUUAGAAUAAGGUUUGGUAAAUUCUGUUGAAGAUGAUCAUAAAAAAAUAUAUCCCCUCUAUUUAAUUCGUCUGCGCUAUUUUCACUUGACAUAGAAUUUAAUAAAGUAAAAAAAAACUUUUGAAUUUGCGGCCUUAAUUUAAAGAUAUGUCAAAUGUAUAAAAAUAUCCUUUAAUCUUAUGGUCUUAAAUUUGCCAUGUGGAAAGUUGGAACAAGCGAGUUGCUAAAAAGGGGAAAACAUUCUUUUUGAAACGGCCUAAAAAGGUUAGCAAGACAAUAGUUAUUAGGAGGGAGUAUCAAUUAGGGGGACACAAUAAGUUUGUUAUUAUUUGGUUCUUACAGUUUGUCAGAAUGUGGAUUGGCGGUGAUGCUGAAUCAAAUAAUAUAUUAUACAUUUAAAGAAGUGGACUUUUCUACAUGUGAGGAAGAAAGUAGUUUGAAAUUCUUGAUGCUGAAGAAGAUACAAAAUGAAGAGAUCCAACAUCAAGGGGACUGAUUAUAUGUGCAACUUGAUUUGGAUAAAUACUAACACAUUAAAAUGGCUUGCGGUUCUUCUUUAGUCAAGAAACUAGGAAAAGAACAUGUUUUACCUUAAUUCUGAUAUGAAGCAACACAAUCAAUAAUAUAGUAUCUCUCCUUCUAGAAAAUCAACUUUUUUUACUUAUAAUUCAUUAAAAUUUUGUGCUUUAGAUUUCAUCUUUUAUAUUCUCUGUUUAUUAUUUUUUGUGCUAUGGACAGGAGGAUCUCAACUCAAUUGGAAUAACAAAUUAUCUCAGACAUGAAUUGUGCGGGUUCAAGUAUAUAGGUAUUUAUAAAGUUUGUGAUUUCUCAUGGAGAUAUUUUAGUUGUUUUGUCACUUGAAAUAUGAAUGGGGACGUCUAAAAGAUAUUUCCAUGUCAGUUGAAAUUUUUGUUAAUUUCAAAUGAGUCUUGUUCCUUGAAUAGACAGUCUAUAUAAGAGGGGCCACAAAUUCUAAUGAAAUUCAACUUAACUUCUAUCCUUACUGAUUGAGGUGGUAACUUCUCUCUUUCUGUUAACUUUUCUUUUUACUUUGCUUAUCAAGUUGUGUCUUGAUUAUAGCAAGUCUUUAGUAGCCAUCUUUAUAAGAUUUUCUUUUAUCAAAAAUGAAAAAGAAAUGGAGUAUGCAAAUGAACUUACAUGGAGUCUCUCAUCUUUUUUUUUUUUUUUAAUUAUUAAUUCCUUUGUCUAAUUUAUGGUAUGAAAAGUAAAUGGUGCGUAAUUUGUAGAUAUAUCGUUCCCAUUUAAAAUUCUAUUGAUUUUCUAUAUGUUUUGCUACCGUUUUGUAGCUUGCUCACCUUAUUUAUAAUUUUUUUACUUAGUAGUAAAAGUUUCUUUUAUUUGUAUAGGUUCAUUUUAAUGAGCUAUACAAGAUAUUUGAUUGUGGAAAACCUUCUUUUAAACCCAAUAAAAAGAAAAUCUAGCUGUAUCAUGUUGUUGAUUUGCAAACAUGCGUUCGUCUAAAUAAUAUCUUUAGGAUUAUGUUUUAUCAUGUUAAUAUAUGAGCAGUCUAUGUUGGUUUGUAAGGUGAGAUAACUAAUUUAUGAUGAUGUUUUAUAGAAUUUUUGGUGUGUUAAUACAUGGGUAAUGCAUUAAAUUACUGUGUUGAUGCAAAAAAAAAUUAUAUUUUUGUGACCAGAUAAAUAUAUUUGUUGCUCGAAGGAAAAGAAUUGCUGCAUCGCUUUUUGCACGUUUUAUGAGUUAUAAGAAGGAAAUUUCAUUCAAGGUGUUGAUGUAUCAAGAUACAAGAAGUGGUGUAUGAUUCGGUAGAGAAACUUUUCAUCAUACAUAUUUGGGAGUUUGUAAAUCAGCAUGUGACAUUUGAAAUUUUCAUGAAUUUUCAUAGUGACAUUCUUGGUAUCAAGCAAGUGAAGAGUAUAUAGUUGCAAAUUGUAAGCCUUUGUUAUCCCUUCUCUUAUGUUUGUGUCUAUUUUGAUUCAUUUCAAUCUUCAUGUGAAAAAAUUUAAUAUUCAUUGAUACUUCUUAGUUGUUAGAAUCAUAAUAAUCCGAAGCUAUCUUUCGGAUAUGUUAUUUUAGUACUUUCUAUUUUGUUUUUGAAUUUCUUUUUAAGGUGAAAUAGUAGGAUUGAUCUCUCAUUCUUGCUAAUUUAAAGUUGUAAGGAAGAUAUCAAUAGAAUUGAAGGCAAGAACUGAUUGGGAAAUAAUUUUGAAUUUCAUGCAUUUUGGCCGGUGAAAAUUAAGUCAUUCCUGACCGCGCGAAGUGCGGACAAGUUACCUAGUAUAUAUAAAAAUGAACAUCCUCAAUAUCAAGUAGAAGGCUUAGCUCAGCAACAAGGGGGUUCAAUUUUGGGGUUGCGGGUGCAGGUUUGAUUCCCGCUAGCUACUACAUAUAUUUAUGGAACUUUUUAGCUUAGGUUUUAGAGUUUCUUUGUCUUUAUUAAUUGAAACAAAUAUCUCAUUCUAUUUAAACUCCCAAUCUCAAAUUCGAAAAUAUUUUUUAAAGAACCGUAUCAAAUGUAAAUGUGUAAGUGAUUCUGAAAUUAUUCCUUGAUUAGUGAAUUGGGAUUGAUAAAGGGUUAUCGAGGAACUUGAGGAGCUCGUAAAAUAUUUGUUAUGGUUAUUUUUUCGCUGAAGAUUAUGUGACAAAAGAAAGUUCUGCCACGAGAGAGAUUUCUACAUAAAUUUGGACUUUUGUGAUAUUUCACGAGGCUAAGAAAUAAAAAUCGUAACAUAUUUUGUUAACUUUCUCCGAUUUUGUUGUUCAUGUUGAGGUAGAAUUAAAUUUUAUUUGGCCUCUUAUAUUUGAUCUGUCCUUCUCAAAAGUUGUAAGAUAAAAGAGUACCGCAAGCAACUUCCACUAGUUUCUUAACUGGUCACAAGUAUUAACAAUAGCAGCUAAAUUUUAUGUGCAGCUAGAUCGCUUCCAGCUGUUAUCACCCUAUCACAUUAUGGCAUUCUAUUAUUGCUAGUAUCUGUAAUUUAUAAUUUCAGAGGGAAUUCAGCUUGUUAGAUUACAGAUUCUAUUUAUUUCAUUUGGCAGGAGCAAGGUAUAGCGAUCCUUACUAAAGCAAUUGCAGCUUGCACUGAGGAAAUAGAGCGUCACAAAGGAAAACUUGCUGUCAAGGAGGCUCCAAGAGCGGUGAGCAGACUUUUUUUUUAAAAAAAUUAUGCGUGAUUUUUUAUCUCAUCAUAAUUGUGGAAUGUUCUGUGUAUACUCUACCCUGAGGUAGUGUUCUAAGCCGGGGGUCUAACGGAAACAGCCUCUCUACUUCACCUGUGGUAGUGGUAAGGUCUGCGUACACUCUAGCCUCCCUACACCCCACUAUGUGGGAAUACACUGGAUAUGUUGUUGUUGUGCAUAAUUGUGGAAUGUGCUUCUUCAUACCUUUGAAGAGGCCUUAAUUUGAUAUAUGCCACAGUUCAAUCAGGAUAUGAGAUUGAGAAUUGUGAAAUUUGAGACCAGAUUUACCAUAACACAUUGUUGGUAAAUCUUAAUAAUCAUGUGAUGGUUGGGCAAGAGUUAGGGGUUUCUAUAUCACUGAUGCCAUGCUUAAUUAGUAUUUUUACUUUGAAAUUAUUUUCAAACUAGUAUAGCAUGGUCCUUGAUACAUAUAUAUGGAUGGAAAUAUGUAUGUUGUCCUUGAUACAUAUAUAUGGAUGGAAAUAUGUAUGUUCAAUUGAAUAAAGCGCUUCUUCGAUCCGUCUCUCUUUGCAAGGCACUGCUACUAGCACUCUGGAUGCUUACUAAUUGAGACCGUUGUCGUAUUAGUUGGUCCUAAAAUCUCAUUUGGGUUUUAUUGCUCUAGUAUGGAUGUACGCGGGCAAAAUGUUUCAGUUAAUAAAAUGGUGAUAUAUUUAAAUUUCAAUGGACUUGUUUUAGGUUUUCGAAUAAAACACUAUUUACAUAGUUGGCGAGAACUACGUUAUUCAGCUUAUCACUUAGAACUGAAACUAACAUGAGUUAGACUCUAUACAUGUUCCUAGGAGAGUUUUGGAUAUUGUAUUGACUGGAAUUGAAAACUUCAAUAGGGAACAAGACAAAAAGAAAUGAAUGCAUCUCUGGCUAUUUUUUUUCUGUUCUUUUGUUGCUUUCCGUUUUGGGCUGUUAUUCUUGUUUCUUCUCUGGCGAUUCUGAUGUGAGUUAUCUAUUCAAGUGAGUGAACGGGAAGACAAAUUGCUUGCUGAACAGAUGGCUAAGCUCGGUCGUGAAAAUGAGAUCAGUGGUGAUGAAGAUAGUGAAGAGGAGGAAGAUACCGGGAUGGGAGAAAUUGAUGUGGAGUACUCAGGAACUGGAAUUAGAGAGUAAAAAGUGAGUAAAAAGUGUGGCUUGUAUGAACUUGGAUGACACAUUCUUCACAGAUGCAGAUCCUACAGAACCUACCUCACCUUUUGUUCUUGUCUUUUUGUAGCCAUUUGCUUACUCUGGCAAUUUUUCUUGACGAGCAUUUUAGUUUUUACAUGAAAUCACUCUUGAUAUUUAUGUUGGUGCGGCUAUUUGAUAAUUCCAAUCGCAUUAGUACAUUUUGCAAUGAGAAUGAACAACUGUAUAUCUUGUUCUUUCAAUUCUCCCUCAUAAAUGUAUAUUUGGAAUAGUCAGUUUUUGGAAUCCCUUCUCUUCCAGAUAGGCGGGACUAGUGUUGAGCAAUGGUUAUGACAGAGCUGGUGAAUGUGUCUGUCGUGUUUUUGAGAAGCUUAGAAAGUCUUCCAAUGCGUUAUAAUCUAUCCAAUGAACAUGAUGCUUCGGUCUUACCGUCUCAUCUUGAGACAUUUGUAGUAGAAAGUUCUGCCUCUGAUGCUUUAACUUGCAUAUGUUCAGCUAUUAGUGUAACAAAUUAUGCUCAAGUAGGUGCACGUUGGUACGGUAUACUGACAUGUUGACUUGGGCACCAAGCUACGUUGGCUAUAGAGUUGAGGUGGAGACCAAAAGCUACAUAAGUCCACAUCAGUUUCCCAUUUAACCGAUGUGGAACACAAGUCCCAUUCCUUGUAAUAAUAUCAUAGCCGUUAGUAUUAUCGCUUUGGUAUUUUUUGGCACUCCUGUUUCAAAGCUUUGAAUGUUGUACUAUUCUAAAGAUAAAAUAAUAAAAUAAGGAAGAGUUUAUGCUACAUGAUUCUUAAACUUGAGUUUUCUUGGAUAAGAUCAAAUUGCUCUGCUUAUUUUAAAGUUGUAUAAAACAUAUUUCUCUAAAAAGAACUCAGAGAAAGAAAACUCUGGUGUGGAAAUUUUUUUAGUAUGAGCUUGGUCUUUUGUGCCAUUUCCUAAAGAAUAAGGGUAGUUAUGCUCUAAUUUCAAAAAUUUUAGUUUUCAUGGUCAAACGUCCACUAAUACUUAUGACAUAAAAUAUUAUUGAUAUUUUUUUGAAUAUUGAAUAACUUUUUGGAAUUUGAUAGCUACCAUUAAUUUAUUUGAGAAAAAAUGGAUAAUUAUUCAUAUAUACAUAUAAUAUAAUAUAAAGCUCAAUUUAAUUUUUGAGACUUCAUACUUGUGUUUCUUUGACUCUCAAAUAUUUUAUAUGAUUUAGUAGGCGUUUGACCAUAAGAUUUUUUUUUUUUUUUGAAAUAUUAUUUAAUUUUAGUGAAAAUAGUAGUUUUUGAUCAUAAAAAUUAUUUCAAUUUACUGAAAAUUAUUUUUGAAAACUUUUUUCACUCUUAUUUCUUGCACAAAAUUUCAAAAACAACUCUAAUUUAUAUUUGUGGCCAAACACAACAUCAACUCCAACUUCAACUCCAAUUUACUGAAAAAUAUUUUUGAAAACCUUUUUCACUCUUAUUUCUCGCACAAAAUUUCAAAAACAACUCUAAUUUAUAUUUGUGGCCAAACACAAUAUUAACUCCAACUUCAACUCCAACUCCAAAAAUUAUUAUUCUUAUCACCAAAUGGGGCAUUAAUAUUUUAAAAGUCUUUACCAAUAUAACAAGCUAAUUUUUUAAUAAAAAUGACGCAACAAAAAUAAAUAACACAAAUGUUGAAUAAAAAUUUAAAAAUAAACAAGAAGUUUAAUUUUAAACGUAGAUUUAGGCCCGGGGUAAAUAACACUCAUAGAUAGGUAAUAAAAGGAAGGGAUAUAUACCAAAACAGCUAAUUUUAAAAAUCAAAAAACAAAUUCUUCGUGAAAUCUCUUGUUUCAGCUCCUCCACAGUCAAAAAAAAAACCUUUCUCUUUCUCCAGAAAUCCAAGUUUCUUUGAAACUCUAGAACCAACAACUACCCCCCCCCUCCACCCCACCCCUACACACCACCCAACAAUCAUGGAGACUAACUCUCCAAAUCUAGAAUGCCGAAUGUACGAAUCGAAGUACCUAGAAGUAGACUAAGCAGUGAUGAUACAGGUGAAAAACAUGGCUGAUAGUGGGGCCUACAUUUCCCUUCUGGAGUACAAUAACAUUGAAGGAAUGAUUCUUUUCUCUGAGCUCUCUCGUCGUCGUAUUCGGAGUAUUAGUAGUCUUAUCAAAGUUGGACGCAUCGAACCUGUUAUGGUUCUUAGGGUUGAUAAGGAGAAAGGAUAUAUCGAUCUCAGUAAACGUAGGGUUUCUGAAGAAGAUAUUUCGGCUUGUGAGAAGAGGUAUAAUAAGAGUAAGCUUGUUCAUUCUAUCAUGCGUCAUGUUGCUGAAAUCAUGGGAAUUGAUCUGGAGGUCAGCUAAUUUCUCAUACCCCAUUUUAUUUUUACUUUGGUUAUAAAGAGAGUUAAGUUUUUUUUUUUUUUUAUAAUUUGUGAUAAAGGAUAAUUUGGUUAGCGGGUUAAAGGAUUGUUUUUUUUAGUUAGCGGGUCAGGUGUCGGUUUGAAAAAUCAGCUAACGGGUUGUCAGUUUGGGUCUCGGGUUUCCUAAAUUUUUUAUCCGGCCACUCGAGAACCCGAUAAUAUUAAGGAAAAGAACAAAAAUAAUACCUAAAACUAAAAUAAUUUUAAAAAUUAACACCUAAAUUCUAAACCCCAAUUAAUAGCCAGCUACACGAGAAAUAACAUUGCUCCUGCAGCGCAUAAGUAUUCAUUUUUUUAACAUUUUUUUUUAUUCAUUUACAAUUUAAAUAAAAUAAGUUCCCACGUGACUUGGCUGAAAUAAAUCAAUAAAGCCAUAUUUAUACUAAAGCAAGCUCAAUCAUUAUUAAUACGAAAUUAAUGUUCAGCUUUUUCAUAACCUUUACAGCUACUAAAGUAUAUAUUUAGUAGGAAAUUUAACUUGUCCUAUCAGUUAAAAAGCUACUCAACUGUUCGGAAGUUUUUGUCGUUCAUAAUUUUGCAAUACUAUCAGUAGGGUUGGCAAACAUUAUAUUGUGGGGCGAUGCGAUUAUAUGGCAUAUCCCUAUAUAUAUCCCUAUAUAUAUAUAAAUAUUCUAUAAAUAAUUAAAGUAUUUUUAUACACAUUCUAUAUAAUUUUUAACUAUAAUUAUUAUUUAGAUACACAUUUUACACGAUUUUAUAUAGUUUCUAUAUGCAUUUUAAAAAUGUAUCAAUCUAGUAUAAGAGAGAAUUAACUGAGUAUAUGGACGCUGCAAGUAUAUUAAUAUAGUAUAAAAGUGUAUUAAUGUGGUAUAAAAGAGUAUCAAUUGAGUAUAGAAACUGUAUGUACUUGCAUAGAAUUUCAUUUCUCAUUUUUAGAAAGUGUAUCAAUAUAGUAUAAAAGUGUAUCAAUAUGGUAUAAAAGUGUAUCAAUUGAGUAUAGAAACUGUAUGUGCUCAAUUGGGCCAAACUAAAAAAGGAAAUUAUUUUACCCGACUGGACAGCCCAUGUCCACCUUUUCACAUGUGGGUCAUUUUUUUUUUAAAUGGACAACCUAUGUCCUUUUCCCAUAAUGGUACUACAGUAAUUACACUGGUCUGGCUCUAAUUAUAAUUCCCACCCAUAACCCAUUAUCCGUUCCACACUUCCACUGGCCCAAAUCCCAAGCCCAAAUUCCCACCCAUUCAUUACCCGUUCCACACCCAUUACUCCUUUAGUUUCUGACUAGGGUUAUAGAAUAGAGAGUUGAGAGACCAAAAAAAGUCUUUCAAUUUUCACUCUGCGACUGCUCUGCCUCACUGGACACUGUCUUAAGCUCAAUUUUUGCUGAUAUUCUGUAGAGACCAAAGAAGAUUUUUGCUUUUGCUCUCAACAGGUAAGAAUUUUUUCCUUUUCUCGAAGCCUCGUUGUCAUUCUUAGAAGUCUUCCUCUGCAUUUUCAAUUUCUGUCCAAUUUUCGAUAGAAAAAGCUGAUAUGGAAUUCGCACACUGAAUUUCUGUUUUCUGUUUUCUGGAAUUUCGCGCCCUGAUUUUCUAGUUUCUGGAAUUGGCACAAUAAACUGUUGGUUUACUAGUUACUGGAUCUAAUUAAGCAAUACCUACUGUUUGACGAUUGAUAGAAGCAGAAGAUUCUUUCAUUUAUUUUUUUGUUUCUUCAUUUUCUACCUUACUAUUAUUGUAGGUUUCAGUUCUGUAAAUAUCUGUUAUAGUUGUAUAAGUUGGAGCUCCAUUAUUCUUUUAUGUAUACAUGAUGAUCUUUAUGGUGUCACAUGAUCUAAUUUUUCUAGUUCUCAAGUAUAGCUGCGGAGAAACUAAGAAUUCCUAUAUACUAUUGAUGUUGCAAGUGCAAUAGCGAAAUGCUAAUAGGUCUGGGAUAUCUGCUGGACAGGAGGAACUACUGUUGUUCUUAACCAUUUUUGUUUAUAAUGUGCACAAAUUACUGGCAUAGGAAUAAUAGUUUGAGCCUAUCUUGUUUCCCUGCAAAACUGCUUGGGACUGUAACUUUGUUGUUUGAAGUGUGGCUGCAAAGUUGUUUCUCCAGCUGAUAAUUCUAUGCUAAAUAUAAGGUCAAAGAGAUUGUGGUUAGAUAAACAGAUAUAGAUACUAGUCGAGCUUAACACAUCAGAUCAGUGUUAAGUUCACUUCCAGUGUUUGUAGUCAUGUACUCCGUUCCAAAAAAGAGUGUAUCAUGAUCCACUUUUGAUCGUUGAAUGCACCUUAUGCUAUCAUUUUUAUCCCUUCUAGUAAUCGUAAUCAUAUUUAGCUGUAGUGUUUGUGUAAAAGGUGCAUCCCUUGAAUAGUCAUUAGAUUUACAAUUUUGUUGCCAGGUUGACAGAGCCAUGUCACUUUCCUGAGUGUUUUUUUUCCUGGCGUGUUGUUGUUACUGAUAGUUCCUUUCUUCUUUGUGCCAUUUUGUGUAAUUGUUGUAACUGCAAGUUUUUGUUCAAAUCCCGGAAGGUCUUGACUGUAUGUAUUUGCGUAAUAGACUUCCCAACAAUUGAAGAUAAACACUGUUUUGCGUGUGAAGUUCCUUAUCUGAUCUUGUUUACUGCUUGCUGUUGUGUUGCCAUGUUAUUUUGGGAUGAAUAAAUGCAUCUAAACAUAGUACUGUAUGUUUGGAAAAUAUUUUGAAUGUUAACGGUUUAAAUUCUUCGUGGCUCUUGUUUCAGUAUAUAUUCUUCGUGGCUCUUGUUUCAGGCCCUUCAGAAAUCCAAAUUUCUUUAAACCCUAGAAGCAACAACAACUACUCCCCCAACCCCCCCCACACCACCGACACACACCUCAACAAUCAUGGCGACUAACUCUCCGAAUCUGGAAUGUCGAAUGUAUGAAUCGAAGUACCCAGAAGUAGACCAAGCAGUGAUGAUACAGGUGAAAAGCAUGGCUGAUAGUGGGGCCUAUGUUUCCCUUCUGGAGUACAAUAACAUUGAAGGAAUGAUUCUUUUCUCUGAGCUCUCUCGCCGUCGUAUUCGGAGUAUUAGUAGUC